rnacentral:lncRNA from 1 species
UUUUUUUUUCUUUUUGUAUUUAGUAUGAAGACUACAUUAGCUCAUGAUUACAUAGUAUGAAAACAAAAUAAUCUCUAGUAGCAUUGAUAUUCCUCAAGAUGAAAAAAACAGAUGUUAAUGAAAAACAAUGUAAGAUAGAUGUUUUGUAUCCUCAAGCUAAAAAAAGUAAUAUUAGAUUAAAUAAUAGUGCAAGUUAGUUAUAUAUUUCACAACAAACUCAUGAUUCUUAUAUAAAAUCCAAAUGCAUCUAGAAUUUCAUCCAAACUUGUUAUAGGGUUUUUUAUUGAUUUCUACAACUUGGUGAGCAUUAUUUAUAAAAAGCAAAUUAUUAUUAAAAAUCAAAAUAUUUAAUUUUGUAUGGAUUUAAUUUUAGAUUAAAUAUGUUUAUUAAAUAACUUUCAAAGUUUUUAAAAUUAUUAAAUCAUUGUGGCUUGUGAGCACUUUUUUCAUUGGCAUUUUAUCACUUUAUAUUAACAAAUCAUUGGACGACAGAAAGUUAAUCAAAUAUGUACUUUUAUUGGUCUUAGCACAAAUUAUUUCACAUUAAAUUUAUUUUCUUUAUUAUAAUUAUUUUAGUUAAAAUUAUUUAUUCAGAUGUGUGUUAACCUUUUUCCUUUACUAGAACAAUAAUAAUUUUAAUUAUAAAGGUAAAAGAGUUAAAAGUAUAAUAAAUUUAUAGAUUUUAUUAACUUUAUUUUGUUUUUAAUAUAUUUUUUAUUUAGGGCUAUUCAUUUUCUGUUUAAGAUAUUUAAUUUUGUUCAAGUAAUAGACAUAUAAAAGAAUGAAUGAACCACAAUAUAAAAUUGUUUGUAAAGCUAUAUAACAUUUAUAUGAAUGUAAUUAAGAAAAUGGUAAACUUUAUUAACUUUAAAUUUAUGAUUUCAAAACAAACAUUAUGGGAGUCCUUAAAAGAUUUACUUGAACUUAAUGACCAUGACAACAUUUCAGGUUUCAUAAAAAUUUCAAAUUUUAUUCAACUUAUUACAUUAGUUUUCACUGUUGUAGCCUCAAAUGAUAGGGCAAUAACACCAAACAGAAGAAAUAGGGGAAGUCUUUUAUUAGCAGUAAAAAACCCCUCUAUAGCACAAGUAGAAGUUAUAAAUGGCUUUUACUUUUAAUUAUUACUCAAUAACUAAAAAUAAAAGUGUAAGCGACUAAAUUUUCCAUUCUACUUUAGUCAUUUAACCACACCUCUGACCACUUGGAGGAGUCUCAUUCAGAACCUCCAUAAGUCCAAUCCAGGACUUAGGACUUACUAGCCCCGAGAAUGACAUCCAUGCCACUCAACAUUUGCAUUUAUUCUAAGUGCUCCAUGUGUCCGAUCCCAUGACCGACACUCAAAGGUACCACCGACAUAGCAACCCGUUACGCUAAGGCCAUGCCUAAUCACCUUUGCCACACUGGUAGUCCAUUACCACUUGCAUCACAAUCUUGGCUCUCCAAGACUAGGCAAACCCUCCGUGAGUGGUCAUCUCAGAUCCACUCCUUAGCAUCCUUAGGAUGCCCACCGACAAGGGGAAUAGCUUUCCCCAAUAUCCCUCUGUCAGUCCCCACUAAGUCCCUUUCUGCCCUUGGCCGUGUUUGCCAACACUGCCACUGGAUCGAGACCCACAAGCCUGACCACUAAGUCCCAUGGUCCUCUGAGACUUCCUCACCACACGACUGUGUCCUUGGUCACUACCCCAGAGGACUGUUCCUCUUCCUUUCUACAGUCUAGGCCUUUGGGACAACAUUUCGGAACACCGUGGCCCUACGCGGGCCUCAUGGGUACUCUCCCUGCCUUUCGCCUUUGGGUGCUCUAGCCAUGGGCUUAGAGCGAGGUUCCGUUGAGCCACACCAGGUAUCCAAGUAGGUAGUGCCACCCACACUUGGACUGGGAGCAUCGGCCAGUCGAUCUCCCGGGGGAACUAGAGCCGGCUCUUGAACACUUCACCAAGCUACCCCGCUUGUCGGUCCGUGUUCACUCUAGUCUUGGACUUCCCAGUGGGCAGCUUUUCACCCAACACUGGGUCCGGCCUUCCUGGGCCAAACUGGCCUUUCCUGGCCAAAUUGGCUCCACUGCAGUCCUCCCCCUACUAUACUUUUGGAGCUCACCAAACCCCCCAGGGUCUGGGAGACAAACGCUUUGGGCUUUCACCCUCUCAGACUUAAACUCGAACUCGGACUCGGACUCGGACUCGGACUCGGACUCGGACUCGGACUCGGGCUCGGGCUCAGUCUCGGCCUUGGCUUUGGCCUCGGUCUCGUUCUCGGUCCCGAUCUCGGUCUCGGUCUCGGUCUCGGUCCCGGUCUCGGUCUCGACUUCGGACUCCAUCUCGGACUCCAUCUCGGACUCCAUCUCGGGUCCAUCUCGGACUCCAUCUCGGGUCCAUCUCGGACUCCAUUUCGGGUCCAUCUCGGACUCCAUCUCGGGUCCAUCUCGGAUUCCAUCUCGGACUCCAUUUCGGGUCCAUCUCGGGUCCACCUCGGACUCCAUCUCGGACUCUAUUUCGGACUCCAUUUCAGGUCCAUCUCGGGUCCACCUCGGACUCCAUCUCGGACUCCAUCUCGGACUCCAUUUUGGGUCCAUCUCGGGUCCACCUUGGACUCCAUCUCGGACUCCAACUCGGGUCCAUCUCGGACUCCACUUCGGACUCCAACUCGAGUCCAUCUCAGACACUUCCACGUGUCAUGUGUUGGUCCUUUUGGGUCCCUUUUUGGAGCCUCGCUUUUUGUUCGCUUCGUGCUCGUUCCUCGAGCACUUCGUUAGGAGUUCCACUCCCACUCUCGACCUUUCAAGUCGGAGUGUUACACUCGUUUGGCUUUCGCUUCGGUCACUACCACGUGGCACCCUUCCGGCUCCACUUUGGGGCCUAGGGAUUUUGUGUCUCACAAAAAGUUUCUAAAGAUUUAGAGAAAGUUAUUAAACAUAUUUACUAAACCUGAAAGUAAAUCAUUAAAAUAUUGAAUCUUUUAAAUUUUUCAUGAUAACAAUUGAAAUUUUUUACAUAAGGAAACAAUACCCAAAAUGACAAUAACAAAGGUGUUCAAGUUCUAUAAACUAAUAACAAUUAAAUCUUUUAAACCAUAUAAGUAAUAAAAGGUUCAUAGCAAAUUUGAAUAAAUUUUAGAUACAUUUAGAUUUGAUAAUAAGAUCAAGAGUUUAUUAUAAGGUUUUUAAUUAACUUAUACUAUUAUUUAAUUUAACAUUACUUUUUUUAGCUCAAACAAGUUUACUUGUUUGUGAAUUAAGUUAUAACCAUAUAUACCUUCAUAUUUUAUUCAUAAAAGGAGUGAGAGUUAUAUUUGUGAAUAUUAGUAUUUAUAUAUUUGUUUGAGUUUAUUCAUCCACUAGGUUUUAGAUUUGAGUUAAAAUUUAAUAAAUUUUUUCUUUCCAUUUUUGAAAGGUUCCGCAAUGUUGUUCAUUUUUAGUUUAAUGUAGCCAUUAGUGUCAUUUGUGGAAUUUUUAAAACUGUAAAAUUAUAUAUAUGUUUAAUUUUAAGUUUAUCUUUGUUAGUUUGCUCUUGGAUAAUUUAAAUAUUUUUCAAAAACUUAUAAUUUAGUAAUUUAGUAUCAUCUAUUAGUAAUAUGGUAAGUUAAAUUAAGUUUUAAAUAUUAAUAAAACUGAAAAAUUGUUACAAUUUAUAAAUUCUAUAAAACUUUUAAAAGACUUUAUCGCUCGUAAACCGUGAAAUUUGAAAUUAACAAAGUAUAUUAAUUUUCAUUUACAUACAUAUAAUCAUAGUAGAGCUUUUCAAAAAAACAAAAUUAUAUUUUGAUUCAUCUUAUUUUAAUAUUUAUUGCUUAAAACAUAAGACAAACAACUUCUAUACUCAUAAAAUGUUAAAAUGAAAAUAAUAUUAAUUAAAUUUAUAUUUUAUUAUUUUAGAAGAAAAAAUGGGUCAAUAAUACAAAGUGGUAAAAAGUUAUUAGAAUUUGAAAAACAAUUAUUCAUGAAAUCUACUUUUUGUUAAAAAAAUUCUAUAAUUAUUUUUAUUCUGAAAAUACUUGUGAUCAUAAAAAAAACUAGUUGACGAAGUUUUAAAUUUUUUAAAAUAAAAAGUGUAGUUUUAUUUUAAUUUGUUUAUAUUAUUAUAUCAUGCAUCUGACUUUUAGUAAAAAAAAGCCAAUACACACUAUAAAGUGCCAUGGUUUGAAAGAAAUCAAGAGUUCUGCAUGGUACACCACAGAGUUAUGAAAAGGAUCACAGCUAUCUAAGAAAAAAAAAAAAAAAAAAAGCUUCACUGUGUAAAAAUUAAAUGCUUUGGGAGAGGAUCAGCGCUGCGGCCGCGAUAUUCUCGGAUCAGGUGCGCAAAUCGCAUGGAUCAAGGAAUGCGGCGGCGCCAGAGAUCUGGAGCGAAUCCACCAAGAGGCAUUCGUAGCGGCUAUGGAUGCGGCAGCCUGGAUGAUGCGAUCCAUCUUCAACGCCAUGGGAUGAAGAAUCGCGACGUGGUGUCGUGGAAUUGCUCUAGCCAUCAAGAAGAUCUGCGGGAAGGUCGUCAAGCUCAACUCUCCGCUUUGAUAUCCACUCGAGAAUCCUCUCCAAGAGCAGCUUCGCUGAGCUACACAACCAACACGCUCAUGGACAUGUACACGAAGUAUGGGUAUUUGACAGGGUGGUUUCGCAAGACGUUUCAUGGAACGUCUUGAUGCUUGGCUAUGCUGAGAACGGAGAAGAGUCUCUUAUGUUGCAGCUACUCCAAGUGACGGCUGGUGCUGCAAGCCCAAGGCUUGGGGCUGUCUCGCCGCCAAAGUAAAAGAAAAUCACUGAGCAGCAUUUUCUCUAUUGCCUCGCUCCUCGUGUCAAACUAUCCUGAGCUUGGAUCUCCUUGUGACGGUGCUGGCAUGCUUGUCAAUCUAGUACUUUCUCACAGGUGAGACAUUCUUUUAGCUUUCAGAACUUGUCAACUCCUGGUGCUCGCGAUGCAGAUCUCAACUUGUAGAAAUCACCAUCCCAACUAUCCUAUGCAUUUUAACGUUAUUGUGCUCUGUUUUUGAAAAAAAUCCAUCAUCAAGGUACUUGGUCUAUUUUAUUUGCUUUUUUCCAAAGGAUUCCAUCUGAUACUGCAACGAGAAGCCGAGAAUAUGAUUGUGGAGGCAUAAAUUGCCUUGUUGCUCGUGUUCCUCUCAACUGAAAGGUACUACGUCGCUCAUAUCAAACUUAGGCCAGCAAUUCAAAGCUACUGGAUGCUCUCUUCCGGUGGCACAAAUUACGAUUUAUAAGUGGCAUGGAUUAUUUUUUAAUGAUCUUUUGGCUUUGAUGUAUAUAUUUACUCUCCUUUGGAGUGUGUAUAAUGCUGUAAUAUGAGGACCAGAAAGUCUCGAAAUCUAUAACAUGGUGUUGGGAAAGUAAUUCCAGGGAGAAGUUACAUUAGAUGAUGAGAGCUACUGGUGCUUUCAAGAGUGAUUCCAUUUGAAUGUACUAGGUUAACCGCAACUUUGGGGGACGGAGCACGACAAACAAUCGCCGAGAGAUUGCCAGGGCUUUGACACAGUUAGAUCGCACUAAAGAGAAAUAACUACACACCAUUUGAUCAUCAAAUUAAGGAGGUGGCUGACAAAUCGAAAGUGAAAGAGAACUAGAGCUGUUAUACAGAUAAGUGGUGGAGGACUUUACUGCUAACACUCUCUCCUGUUUAGCUGAGUCCUGCAACAGCUAAUCAAUCCUUGCUAGUCUGCUCGAAACACUAGUAUCCUUUAGCUGAGUCCUCCUGGCUAAUCUGCUGUUACGACUAUGCCUGCUGCAAGUAAUCUUCAACACCUCUAUAUCUAAUUUGUUGCCAAUCUCCUGCUACCAAAAUACUAGUCUCCUUAGCUGAGCCCUCUUGGCUAAUCUGCUACUAUAUCUAAAGACAACAUUCUUUCCUCUACCCGCUUCCUAGCUUCGGCUAUACUUAUCGGCUACUUCGGCUAUACUUCGGCUAUACUUCUCUAAACACCUGCUCAACCUGCUUCUACGUAACUAAUCUUCAUAGUCCAUCCCAGUACUGGACUAUGUCCUGCUCUAUGGUUGCUGCUAACUUAAUCCAUGUCCUCUGCCCCCCACACCUGUUUGAUGCUGCCUUCGUUACUUGACCACUUCUGCUUCGAAACUGCUGUGUAAUAACUUCUGCUUCGAACGAAACGUGACCUGCUUAAUAGGAAGCGAGGAAAUAACAGGGCGUGAAGCGGCAGGGGAGCGAAGUGAGUGGCGCGGAGGAGGGAGGAACAAACAACAUCAGCAGCGGCAGCAGCAGCAAGGACAUAAAGUCUUACGCUUCUUGAUGGGCACCACAAGACUAUAAACAUCGGCAUGGUCUGUUGGGUAGAGGCCCUUGCAGAUGAAUCCACAUUCCCAUGUUGCCCUCCGCCAUACAGGAACCAUACGGAAAAUAAGUCCUUCGCAUUGUUGGCCAGCUUGGACAGCAUGGGUUCCAAGUUCCAGCUCCACCAUAAGCUAUGUUCCAGCCCCACCAUUUAGCAGCCUGUAUAAAAAAAGACAUAAAACGCUGAGAGAUUGACAACGAAGAAACAAGGAAAUCGAGAAACAAUACCUUUUCAUCUCGGCCACCCAGCUUGAGAGCACAAGCUUACGGCAUUGAGAGAUAAGCUUCUUCCAAACACACCAGCCAGUCGAGAUAGUGGCUGUCCGAGCCCCUUAAGAUAGAAGUCGUUGCUCAAGCUCUUCAGCUCGUUCGUCUCCUUGGUGUGGAGCUUCUUGGGAUCUAGCGUCACCUUUUAUCCAGUCACGUUGAGCAUCUCGCGCUUGGUUUCCAGCUCCUCCUCCUCCUCCGCUCUGAUCUGUCGCAUCAGGCAUUUGAGUUCCAGUUCCUUCAGAUCAUUCGCUUUGCGUUGCUCGGCGACCGAAGUGUUGAGUCGCUCGACCACUUGAGCUGCAUUGAAGUCCUGGAAGCAAAACACGAAAAGAGAUUAGCAAGAAUAAACAGUGAAGCUCAAACUAAGAUUGCUAGAAACUCGAGGCUAAGGUUGCUGAGAACCCGGAGAUGCUACGCAGAAAAGCUUGGAGAUAGAAGCAAGCUGAUGGAAGCAGAAAAACUAAAAAAUAAAAGCAACGUAAGUUCUCGGAGAUGGAAGCAACUUAGAGACGGAGAUGGAAAAACUCAAAGAUGAAAGGUUGGCUAGGAAUAGCCAAGGAACAAACUCCAAGGAGUGCGAAGAAGCUCUUAAAAAUUGAUUCAAGAUUCACGAUCGAUGCUACUGUGAUAACAUUUGUAACUGUGUGUGUAGCUUGGAACUCUCCCACUUCUUUCGACGUUAAAUUCUGGCUCACAAACCGAGUAAGAUUUAGAAAACUGCGAGAAAACUUACCAAGAGCCGAAGGACCGAGAGACGUGGCGAAGGAAAACGCUGGUGGAUAACGGAACUACGAAACUUGUCCUCGCAGUUCCCGGUGCUGGUCACCUCCUCGAUCAUCUGGAACGAGCUGUAUCAGCUGCUGCUGCUGCUGGCCGCCGUGAUCUUGUUCAGGAGGAGGAGGAGGAGGAGCAAUGAUCUCCGUGUCCACAGCAAACUCCACCCAUUUCUUGGACUUGACGAACAUGAUCGCCGGGUACAAGACGAUCCCCACGGCAGCCACGCCGCAGCUCACAAAGAUCGUCCGCAUGGAAGCCAGGCACAUCACCAGCACCAGGAACGCCGAGGGUGGCAGGCAAAACAUCACCACCCCGAGCGUCCCGAGCUGGAGCUUGAACGGCCUGUGGAGAUCCGGGCGCUUCACUCGCAGCCAGAUGAAAGCCGCGAACUCGAGCAGCAUCCCCACGCAGUAGAGAAAGUUGAGCAGCUCCACGAUCUCCUGGAAAGUCAUCCACGACAGCAGCACCACCCCGGUGGCCGAGCACAAAAUCCCCAGGACUGGAGUGCCGUGCUUGGAUCGCCUCGCAAAGAUCCUGGGGAGCAUCCCAAUCUCCGCCAUGCCCAGGAGCUGGAAAGAGUCGCUGCUCAUCUCGGCCUCGAAGAGACCCAUGUUGGACAGCGCCGCCGCGGAGUUGAUCCACCACUUGAGCCACUGCCCUCCAAUCUCCCGGCCGAUGUCCGCGAAGUAGCCAUCCUCCCAGUCCUCGCGGUGGAGAUCCAGCACUCCAGUGCCCGCCAGCAGUGGAAUGAUAUACGAGAUCACCACCAAGAGCACUGCCGCGAAGAGAGCUCGAGGAAACGUCUCGCUGGGUCGCUCGAUCUCGCCGGCUAGAGUGCUGGCCUUGUCCCAGAAGUUUAGAUUCCAGAAGAGGCUGUUGAGGUACCCGCGCCACUGUGUCUCACGGAUGCUCACGACGAUCCAUCGCCGCGGUUUGAUCCGCGGAAGAGCUAGAAUCCCCAUGAUCGCGAAUGGCAGCAGCGAGAAGAAUGCCAAGAGGAUGGCCGCGAAGCCGACGAUGGUGAGCCCCCUGUAAUUCACGAAUGUGAGCAGCGCCGUGAGGAUCGCGAGCGUGGGGUACCUCGCGGCGGCGGUGGCGAAGACUGGCACCGAUCGCUUGAUGUAGUCGAGGAAGAGGACCGGGUAGAGCGCAUUGUCGAUGACGCCGCUCAGCCACUUCCAGAAUCCCUCCUGGAAUCCCCAGAAGGGGCCAAAGGCGGCCGAGAUCCAGAGGACGUAGCCGCCGUUGGCUGGAAACGCUGUGGCGAGCUCCGCCGUGAUGAGGGCCUCGGGGACGCUCCACAGGAAGGGGAAGAUGAUGAACCCUAGAAUCGCCAGCAGUGGCCCGGCCGCCCUCACGGAAUCCUCCACCCCGAACGGCCCGCCAGAGACCUCGUAGAAGAUGAGCGCGACGAGAGGGAAGAAUGAGAGCUUAGAUCGCUGCUGAUGCUCGCUUGCCUGGAAUCGAUUGAUCGACGAUUCAUCCAUCCAAGAUUUCCUGUUCCAACCUGUGCUGGGACGAUCUACAUCGGUGGAGAUGCUCUGCGAGGCCGCGAUCACGGCGGCGGCGCCACUGCCGCCACGGCUCUCGAGCGUGGCGCCUCUUCAUCCCAAAACCCUGACCUAAACGAAUGUUCACUUUGUUUGAAAAGAUUCGCGCGGGAAAUUGGUAUAAUUCCUUCCAUGUGACGGGCAUGAUUCCGCGGUAUCUUUUGUUUUCCUCUUGGGGCUCGGGUUCGAUCCAUCAUGGGCUUUUCUUCUUUAAUGAAAUUGGCACCGUUGGAUUCACCCGUCAUCGCGACUGGACGGGCAGCCGUACGCGUACCAAGCGUCGAUCGUACUCGUCGCGCGUUUAAGCAUUUUGGUUUUAAACCCUAACUCUUCGUCCUCGUUUCCCCUCUUCCAGUGUGGAGAAGAAAGAGAGGAGCGAUCGAUCGAUCCCAAUGCAAUGGCGCCUUCUCUUGCGCGCUCCUCGGCGACGCUCGCGCUGCUGCUGCUGCUGCUGCUUCUAGCGAUCGGCAUUGAAUCGACAUCGCGCGGGGGAGUCAAGAAUCCGGUAAGAAAAUCCGGAAAUCCUCUUCUUUUCUCUCGAUCCCUCCCCUCCUCAUCGAUCGCUCACGAAAUAUCUCGAUCCUGGCAGAUUAUCACCAGCGACAACCGAAGAUUUCUACUCCGGCGCUCCGCGGGAUUCUCGACGUCGUUCCACUUGAGCUGCCCGGGCGAUGAUUGCCGCCAAGCUCCGGGGCACGAUGCCUUCGCGGCUUCCGACCGCCUGGUGCCUUCCGGCCCGGAUCCUCUGCAUCAUCGGAUCAGAGUCCACAAUUGAGGCGCACAGAGGUUCUUCGUUUCCUGCGAUCUCAUCUUUCUUCUAGAGUAGUAUCGUAGUGGCGGCGCGGCAUUGCUACUGCUGGAGAAGCCACAAAGCUCUUUUUGCUCCGACACGUAUCGGUUUUGGACAGUUUCUUGAGAUGCUGCUCUGGGUGUGAAGGUGGGAAUUCGGUGCUCGUCGCGGACAGGGAGAGGGAGAGGGAGAGGGAGAGAGUGAGAAGUUAAUUGCGGCUGUCGCGCAGGCAGCCACCUCUCUUCCUUUUGGAGCUGCUGCUCAUCAAUGGCACCGAAUUUCCCCAAAGCAAGCUCCUUUCUUCCUGGCUAACUUUUCCUUUUGCUUUGUUUCUCUCUUUUCUUGGCAGAGCCGCAUUACAGAGUUCUAGGCAACGUGAAUGCUGUCUGAUCCAGGUACUCUGACAAUGUUCUUCUCCUUGACAUGAUUCUUCCACUGUUUUGUCAGAUCCCAGAGCGUGAUCCCAGCUGAUCAAAAUAUGUUCUUCGACUGGUCCAAAGCCAGAGCAACUUGGUUCUUUCAGGUACUGUGAAUCGAUUCACUUAGACGCAGGUGUCUACCUAGAGCAGAGAGUUCCUUUGCUUUGGUCUAUAGGUGCGUUUGUUCCUUUCCAUUUGUUCCUUGUGCGCUUGUCAGUAUAGACUACCAGCUAGUAACCAUCCAUCCAGUGCCUCUGCUGAUAGAAAAAGGAAGAAAUUUUUGUCUAUCCUCUCCUUUUCCAGUGAUAGUGUCGGGACAAUGAGAGUGUGAAGGGAAUGUGUCUUUAGCUGUUUUAUUCGUUGUCUGUUGGAAUCCACAUGUGACAAACCAUGGGCGAUAGAAAAUCUAUUUCCUUGAUAUUUGGCUAACAAACUCUCAUUGUUACUCGCAGGCCUGGCCAGCCAUAUCCAUGGAUUAAGCUUUGGAGAUCGAGAUGGAGCCAGGGAAGAAAAUAUCGAGAAGGGCCGUGUCCUUGCUAAAGGUUCCAAUCUAAACCACGCUCCGGGAAGAUCCAGGUACUAAACGUGGGUAUCUUAUCUUAUAUUCUCUCGCAGAGGUUCUUUCUUGUUAGCGGCACGGAGCCAAAAGUUUCUCUCCGUCCGUACGCCAAGGACACGCCUAUUGAAGGCAACCACAUGGGCUAUAAAAAUACGAUAGGUACUACCAUUGAUGGAGAUGAUCUCGUCGUGUAGAAGCGCUUCUUCUCUUCUCUUCUCUCCGAGCAUCUUGUAUUUAUGAAUGGAACGCGAAUAUGCGUUUCCACCAUUUAAAACUUGCCUGACCGUGCGUGGGUUCCCAUGAGGAAAUCUUUUUCAAAAUAGAAAUAGAAUUUUAGAAAUAAUGGAUCAUAUCAUAAUCAUGUGAAAUUUCACACAACAUUAGCAUUAACGGGGAUUAUAGGACGGGCGAGAUGCGGAUUUUCGUGAAGGUUGGGGUAAUGGUUGACAAGUGGAAUUUCAAACAUGGGAUGGGAGAGGCAUCACAAGAUCAUCAAAACGGCUUACUAUAAUCCGUCAGUCUCAUGCUUCUUGGUGGGCGCCACAAAACCCAGCUAAUGAAUGAAUGAAUGAAAUGCAAACACCUUUCCACUUUAGAGAUUCAUGAAACUUAUCUUCCAGCUUUCCAAUCAAGCUAAGCCAUUGGUGAAAUCAAAUAUCUCUUGGCCUGCUAAGAAUGGUACUUGGUGCUUUUCAGCCCAGAAUCUGGCAUCCUGAAGUGGAAGGGCUCCAAAGUCAUCACCCUCAUUACACAGCAUCACACAGCCAACCUAGAAGGAUCAGUUAGCAUCUACAAAUUACAGGAAUAUCAAUCAGAGGAAAAAGAAUCAUACAAAGCUAACAGAAUUAAAACGGUCAAAGGAAAAAGGAAAAAGGAAAGAAAAAGAGAAAAGCUUGAGAGAAAACAUGCAAGUUAGCAUCUUAAUAUCAUAGAAAGCACAGGAAUAUCAAUCAGAGCAAAAAGAAUCAUACAAAGCUAACAGAUGAUUACAACAGUCAGGAAAAAUAAUAGAGAGAAAAAGCCUACCAUGAGAGGAGAGAUCCCUGCUGCUUUGGCAAGGGCCACUGAUAGCUCAGUGUGGCCCUGCCUAGCUCUCAAGCCCAAAGAGUUCUCCACACACAGAAAAAUAUGGCCUGGAGCAUGAAAUUCUCUCCCAAAUGCCUCUUGGGCACUUGUAAGAGGCUUGACAAUACCACCAUUGCCAUUGGAGGCACAGCUGUGCUCGCCCCACAGGCCAGCCAGGCGGCGACACGUGUAGCUCCUCUCCACGUCGGACGCCCCAGUCUUGAGGCUCCUGUGGUCCAAAGAGAUUCCAACCGAGCAUGAGCCCUGGCACAUUACCGUACCUUUGGCACUGCACUGCAGCACGGGGUGGGAAUGGGCCAUGGCCAGCACCUGACCCAUGUACGGCAGCCCGAACGUCGUGGCCACCUCGCUGCCAAUGGCGAUGUAGAGCUCGCCCCCGGCCUGCGUACGGAGAGUACGGAGCGCGCCCGGGGUGGUGGUGGCCGCCGGGAAGAACAAGUCGGUCUCGCCCUCGCGGCUCUCCGAGUCGAGAAUGGCGACGCAUUUGCCACUGGCCAGAGCUUCCAGUGCCUGGCGGAUGAUCGAGGACGGUGGCAUUGCUCGCGUGAUGCUGGGAGAGAACUUUAAAACCAAAGGAAUGGAAUCACUUACGAACUUCUCGAAGAAACCAAUGUAGAAGCUCGAGAAGCUAAAAAACGGGAGAGAAAAAGAGACCUGAGAAAAGGAGCAAGCGUUAGAUAUUUUGAUGAAACCACGAAACGAUUAUAAAGGGGAAGAGAGCCAUACCUUGUUUGUCUUUGUCUCGCAGGCGCUGGUUGAAACAAGACAAAGAAUUAUCUGCAAGCGCACGAAUCUUAAGGCCCAGAGCGCUCGAGCUGCUGCGAGUGGUCUUUCGCUGACACCGAUAAUAAUGGAGUGUAUCAUAAGUAGUCGUCGGCCUCGGAGAAAUAUGGUUGGAACAUUUCCUCCUCCCAACAGUGGUCUGCUAUAACUUUGUAAACUUCCAUGAGGAGCUUCGGAAAUCUAGUCCGGAAGUAGCUCUCGUAGCCUUGAGGAAUGCUUCCUAGUAUUUGCUGCAAAGAAACCAAAAAGAACUCAGCAAUUCGGUAGAAGAAGAGAAGUAAACCUUGGGAGAAAAGAGUUACCUGUACAUCGGCAGGAAGCUCCCUGUAAUGGUUCGCCUUGUUACGAAUGACCCUGAGUAAAUCCCGCACGGCCUGAUAGUUAUAUUGCCUGUAGCGGCCGAGGUUGUUGAUGAGUAAAGGGUCCAGCUUCUCAUCCCAUGCUCCGCCCAACGCAGUCGGAGCCACGGCCUCCAGCGCAGUCAGUACCGCCGAGCUGGCUUCUCUAUCCUCGCGUUCGACACGAUCGCUAGCAGUGAUGAGAAACUGCAAGCGCUGUUGCGGGGGCCAGAAAAAUGGAUGAAGCUUUACUUGCAUAGCAGUUGGUCUGUGUAAAACAGAAAAGGAUUGAUCAGAAAUAUAUCCAAAGAUUGUACCUGUCUUUGGGAUCCAUGGCAAGCAAACUUGAAAUGAUGUCGAUAGCUUCUGGAUAGUGAUCUACAGCAAAGAGAUCCAUUUUACCAGACACAAUGUUCAUGUCACGCUCCAGUCGGCCUCCAAAUGGAUGCUGUCCGCCAGUGACGCAGAAGUAAAGGAGGCAACCAACGCUGAACAUAUCUACAGCUCGAGUUUGCCGCUCGCCCUGGAUUUGUUCGGGUGCUUGCCAGCCGGAACUGCCCAUACCUGUUUAAACAUACGUAAAAUCUUUCUCUUUCUUUUGUUUUUGGCAAAUAGAAUCGUACCAGUCGUAAGCUUGUCAAUGCCUGACGCUCCAUCAUUCAGCCGCUUACUGAUUCCCAUAUCGGAUAUUUUUGCGCUCAGAAAAGUGCCACUCCGAAGAAUCAAGACGUUUUGAGGCUUCAAGUCUCGAUGAACAUAGCCGAGCUUGUGAAGAUGAACGAGUCCUUCCAAAACAUCUCUGUAAUGAAAAGCGAACAAGAAAAUAGUACGUGAGCCAGCAACAAGAAAACUACCUCAUCAGUCUCAUGAGCAACGGGCUUGGAAGGCAGGACCUAUCCCACAAGGUGAGCUUUUGCUGCAAAAUCUCCUGGAGUUCUUUCUCCUCGAACUCGUUUACUUCAGUUCGAUUGUCUGCGCCAGCAGCGUGCACGACAAUAAAUGUUUCCAGGUUAAAGCUGCAUCUCUCCAGAGCUAUAUAGACGAAGUCGUUGUCCUGCUCCAUUGAGUAGUACCGCACCACAUUUGGAUGAGUAUCCAGCUCGAUGAGAGCAGCUAUUUCCUUCGAGGCUUUGUGGUAAAAGCCGCUAAGUAUCGACUUCACAGCUACCUGCCUCUGAUCCAGCUUGCCUUCGAGAAUCCUGGUGCCAUGACUUCCGUAACCGAUGACUAUCUUAGAGAUCGUCAAGCUCCCAAUUCUUCCAUCUGCAUCCUGCUUUUUCGGUUGAUCCACUUUCGUAUCAUCCACCUGUUUACUAACGUUUUCUUGAGAGGCUCGAUCACCCUUCGGACCUCUGCGUUUCUUCCGCUUUUGCUGCUGCUCCUUUUCCUUCUUCUGCUUUUCUUUCUGUCCAAAGUGUAGCACUCCUUUCAGCACCAGAGUUACCACAGCCAGACAUGCAAGCAGUGCACCGAAAAGCCACCCAACUGGAAAGCUUCCCCUGCCGCUGUUGGUGCUGUUUCUGGGAUUGGAUCCGCUAGGAAGUGCCAGAAUCGCAUUUGAAGGAGCCGAGACUGGAGGCAAGGUGUGGUUCUUGACAAGGUAGUCGAGGUAAUACGGUGGCUCCACGAUAAUCGGUGUGAAUUUCGUGCCUUGAAACGUGCGCUUGGAUGGCUUUCCAUCAGAGACAAGCACAGUCAAGCUGGUUGUAUUUCCUGCUGCGAUACCUGGAUAGUCGAUAUCCUCCGCCAAGUUGGCAACUUCCGAGAAUCGUAUCGUCCACUUGACGGAGCCGGUUGAGACUUCGAAGCACGUCAAGGAAUAAUCUGUGCGUUGGAAGAAGAGGGGCUUAAAGUCCUUGAGCAUCGAGGAUAGCAGCGGCUCCGCAUCCUUCCCAGACGUUGUUCCGUUGAUGUCAAACUUGUGGAUCAGAGUCCCGGUGCUGGGGUCGACCACGAACACUGAUUUCAAAGACGCCCCUAUCACCACGCCACCCUCGCUCACGAUCGGGCUCUCAGCAAUGUACUUCUUCAAAGUCUCGUAAUCCUGUGAAGAAUAAAAAGUGUGAGCUCCAGAACCACAAAUAAGUAAAAAAACAAGGCUUGGCUAUGUAAAUUCUACAAGAGCUCGACAGUGCUGGGAGGAAACUCUUCUAUCAAGACUUGAAAGGAAAAACUAGAAAGGAUUGCAAAAGAAUUCACGUCCCUAAAAACGCGUAGCGGCUAAGAACCCAAGAUACCUGGUCGAAAUGCUCCGCCUCGUCGGCAUACUGCUCAAUCGGCUCAAUCUCCACGAGCGAGCUCCCUCCAGACGAAAACGACCAGAAAUACUUGCCAGUGUCAUCGAUCGCGUGCACAGUACCAUCUGGCGUGAGCCUGAAACCUCUACAGUGCGAAAGUACAUCGAUUAGGCAGCGGCCACGACCUUCGAUCGCUCACUUACAGUGAAGAAUCCGAAAAUUUGGGCGCCUGUGCAAGCGUUAGAUCCGCCGCGACUGGAUUUCCCGAAAUUUCACCCGCGGAUGGCCGUGUCGAUUUGCCGCUGAGCCCUAGCGGCACGAGAAGGAGCAGCAAUGCCAGCAUGCUUGACUUCCUAAAAGCCCUAAUCUCGUGAACGUUUUACUUGAAUAUAUAUGUGUUUGACUAUCAUUGGCCAAUGUUUUACCACCGUUGACUGGAUGGAUCCCUGUUUCAUCUAGCCACGCCCGUAGAGCACAUCCGGCGAGCUCACUUCACCGCGAAAUGGGAUCUCGAUGCGCUCCUUGACGACGCAUUUGGAGACCCCAUCCACGAAGAUCAUCACUUUGCCUGGAGGGCAUCGCUCCUCCAUCGCUGGAGCUCUCGGAGGAAUCGCCAGCGAUGGCGUCGGGAUCACUGGAGGAGCAGUGGUAGCCUCGCUCGAGCUCCUCCUUCUCUCGUGCCUGGAUCCAAUCUCCGAGAAGAGGAUGAUCGUGGUAAGAACACCCGCCAUCACCAUCGCCGCUCGAGAGGUGACUCCAACCCCGGGGCCGAAGAGCCGGCCAGCAAAUCUUCGCAGGUCCAAGCCCAGCUUGAUCGGGAUCCCGAGAAAGUUCGCCAUGAACGUCUUGUGGAUCUCUCCUCGAUCGCCGUGCUGUUCUUCGAUUCUAAUCGGCUCUCCAGCCUGCGUGAUCCGCGCUGGAGACUUCUCUUGCUCGAUCCCCACGGGCUCUCCAGCGAACGCCAGAGCUUCGUGGAUGAUCUCCCAUUCCUUGCCAUGGUGGCUUCUUAGCCGGCUGAGAAGAAUCAAUCGGCUCUCCUCCAGCUCCGCGAGCGCUGUGUCUCGAUCCAUCCUUUGCUGCUGCUGGAGAGCCUGGAAUUCGACAUCCAGAGCGAUCAAUCCAUGGACCAAUUAAAGGCUUCUUCUCUUUACCUGGAGACACUCGAGCUGUUCUUCCAAGGCCUCGAGCGCAUCGCGAAUAGCGCCCAGGCUCUUCGCCUCGGCAUUCGGCUCUCCGAGAAGACCUACAUUUGACCCUUGCUCCUCCUCCUCCUCCUCGCCUCGAUCUCGAGCAGCGCUGCUAACAGAGGAAUCUCGCGCCUUACCAGCAGUGAGGAGGAACUCCGAUUUGAGCGCGCGCUCGAUGGCAUCGUUGAUCCGCGUGUGGAGAUCCGAGGCGCGUUGGAGCACCACACUGAUCUCAUCAGGCUCCAUAAACCCUAGCCAAGCAUAUGUCGAAUAUUCUGGUGCCUUGGCUCCGCAUGGUCUCUAAGCAGUACAACCUUGUUAAGAUUGUCACUGAUUUACUCUUUUAAACUUUUGGUUUUAGAUUUUCCCAGCUAAAAGUGAGUUAUAAAUGAAGACAAAUAAAUUGAAACGAAUUGAAAAGAAUUGAAAAGAAUUCAAACUAUUAAAUGAAGACAAAAAAUUUAAAAUGAAUUAAAACAAAGAAAAUGAUUGGCCCAGAAAUACUUUGAGCAGUGUUUUAGGGUUCUAGAAUAUGGGCAUAAAAUGGCUGUAAAUGCCAUUUUUUCAUUUUAAUUCGUUUUAAUUUGUUUUAAUUCGUUUUUCUUCAUUUGAUUUCAUUUAAUUUCAUUUGAUUUUGUCUGAAUUCUUUUAAAUGCAUUUCAAUUUAUUUCAAUUUUAAAAUAAUUUUUACUAAUUAAACACCAUAUUUUACUUUGAUACAAUAUCCAGAAAAAAUGAAUAAGGAUGAGGAAAAAAAACAAACAAACUAGUAGUUCACUAAAUACUAAAUUUGUGAAUAUCUUUAAAACAUACUUUAGAUAAUAUUAUAAGGCAUCAAACAGUUUCUCUAAAUAGCCCUUAUUGCAUGAAGUAAUAAUAAAUCUAUACAUAAAACUAUAUAGAUAACUGAUAUUUGUUUCAAUGCAUUACCCACAACUUGAAAAAAUAAUCUUUGAUGGAUUUGAACAGCUUUGAGAUGUCUCUCUAGGUCUCAUGGAUGUCUUCUCUCAUUUCACAUCUAACCAACCAUAAAUGAAACAUUGUUCACAUUUAGUUUGAAAUGGAAAGAAUAAUGGUAUACCAUUCUAAGCAAGGGAUUUCUGGUUUAUUUAAGCAAAAUCUGUAUGGGGAUUAAGAUGGUAGUGAUAGAAUAUGCUUAGAUAUUCUGGGAUAUUUUACCAUCCAAUGGUUAUACUUAAUUUAUAUUUGAUUUAUAAAUUAUAAACACCUUUAUAAUUAUUAAUCAAUUGGAUUAUUAAAAAACUAAAUAAUAAAUAUAUUAUUAUUAAGUAAACCAAGUGUUGUUGCAUGCACUAUACAGCAAAUUAUUAAUAUAUAAAUAAUUUAAAAAUGUUUUAGUUAUUAUUUAAACCAUUGAGAUUUCAAUAAUUUCAACCAUAAAACUAAAACUUUACUUAAUCACUCCUACUAUUAGUUUAUGUUUCUCAUAUAAAUUACUAGUUAUGUAAAAGAAAUAUUUAGAAAUUUAUGUUAUACUUAGUAAUUACAAUUAUAUUCUUGCAUAAUAUCAUCACUCUCCACACUAGAAAUAUAAAAAUAAAUAUUUUAAAUUAUUCAAUAUAUGCAUGUAUGGUAUAUGGAAGUGUCUAUUAGCCCAAAAAACUUAGUUUAUAUAUAGGAGCAAUAGUACUCUAAUUAUUAAUAUAUGGCAUUGUAGCUAUAUACUUGAAUCUCACAUCAUCCCCUCUCAGAAAAAUGGAAAGUAGUCAAGGUUCUUUAGCUAAUGGGCUGUGAUCUGGAGGAACAUUAAGAGGCACUAAUGGAUUUGAAAGUGGUGUUAGUUGCUUCUAAUCCUUUUAUAUGAAGCAUUUUAGUCAUUACAUAUGCAUAACUUUUGGAGGAUUAACAUGUUGAAUGUUAUACCAAACUUUAUAAACUUGUGGUAAAACUUGUUACAACAUCUAAUAUGGCCCCUUCUAUUGAACAAAGAGUGUUUAAGAUAAACCACAUACCAUAAGUUUUUAAAAAUAGACUAACACUAAUAUGAGACACAAAUCCCAAAGCCCAGAAAAGGAGCCAAAAGGGUGCCACAUGGCAAUGGCUGAAGCGGAAGCCAAACGGGAGUAGUAUAUUUGGAGUAAGAGCCCCGACUCAAAAAAUUGAGAGUGGGAGUGGAACUCUCAACAAAGGGCUCAAGGAAUGAGCACGAAGCAAGUAACAAGUGAGUUUCUAGAAAAAGGACAACAGGACCAACACAAGACACGUGAAAGUGUCAAAAAAGGAGUCUCCAAAGGAACAAAAGUUCUAAAAAAUAUAGUAGGGAGAGUGUGGGGGUUAGACCCCAAUGGAGCUAGUUUGGCCAAGAAAGGCCAGUUUAGCUUUAAGUAUAAGUUGGUGCACUAGCAUGGAGAGUCAUGCCAGGCAUCCUGUGUGGUGCUGUUUGUAGAUGCAUAUAUGGAGGUUAGGUUCAAGUCCCAACUCUUUAGUGCUUGGGUUUUCAUUAGGGUGAGGUGAUGGUUUGGAAUAUGAGGACACUUAUUUUUCAGUAGUUAUAAACUCUUAAUAAGGAGACUAGCUUGGGCAUAUCACCAAGCAGGGGAUGCCUCGAAGUCGUGAUGCAUGAUUAGAUUGCUUAGUGUGGCCCGAUAUAUAUAAUUUGAACAUUUUGGUGCGAGUGGCAUCAAGGAUGUGGUGAAUGAGAUGGGGGCAUCUAGUUUCAGUUGCUAUGGACCCUUGGCUAGAAGAGCUAAAUUGAGUGCACCACCAAGUGUGGGGGAUGCUUCUAGGGUCAUGGUUAAUAACUUAAAGGUCUGGAAAACCUAGGACCUAUUUGCAAACCUAUUAAGGUGUCAAGGUUAGAUCACUAGGUGAUCUUAUGGCUAAAACAAAGACAAGGUCCUUGUGAGGUUAAGGAAUAAGGUUCCUAUUUCAAAGUAUUAAUUUUAACUAUUGAUGAUGGUAUGGCUUGGUCGAGGUGACCAAACGGGAAGAACACCUAAGGGAAAUGAGUUGUGUCAAUGUGAUGGUAUAGUGAGUCUAGAGAAAAUAAUUUCUAUAAAAGACUUAUAGGAGGGUCACAAAGUUGGGCUAUAGAUGGAGCCCAUAAAAAAAAAUGUUAAAGAGAUGUACUAAAGGUGAACAUCUUCUAGACUUGGCAAAGUAAAGUCUUUGUUAUGGAACCGAAAGGAUACUUCGAGAAUGGAGGUAAUGAUCCUAUGUUGCUAGGUGUAACAAUUAAAGUAUAGGAGCAAAAGACUAGUGGCCAACUUUGGGCCAUGGAAUUCAUUGGAAAGAAUCUAAAUGGAAAAGUUAGACAAGGAACGCUUAUAUGUUUAAUGCUAACAGAUUGUGAAAAAGGAAAUAUAUAUCUGAGGAUGGAUUUCUAAAUGCUCCAAUCUGACAAAGUGAAAAUUCCAAAGCAGGGAGCAGCAAAGUAGUCAAAUGAUAGGGCUGUGGACAACUUUAACAUAAAAUAUGGAAAAAUAAAAUUUAGUGUCUAGAGUGGCACAAAAUAGGAGAGAGGGUGAUGGUGGCCCUCAAGUAGAAAACUUCCUAGGAUGGGGAAGUGGAAUUUGCACAAUAUGUGCAAUGUAAGGUGUCAGAAACACCUAGAAAAUUGACUUUGACAAGUCAAAUUUAAGAAUUCAAAAGUGCAAAGGUUAUAUCGAUAAUACUUGAGAAUGAGUAGUGAGAUUGAGAUAGAAAAGGUGUCUCUAACAGGUUUAGCAAGAAUUAAACCAAUAAAAGGAGAGAACCACCACAAAUGGUCGAAUGAAUCUUUAUGUUAUAGAGAUUAUGCUCCUUAAAGGAUGAAUAAGGCAUGGGCAGCCUUCAAUGUCAAACCAUUAACAAAUAUUGGCUAGGUGCCAAAGAUGGAAAGGGUAAUAUAUAUUGAUAUUACUUUAUAAAAUGGUUUAUCGUUCAAUAAGGACAUCAAACUUCGUGUAUAGGUGGUGGAGUUAUAAGACACAAAUCCCAAAGCCCCAAAAGUGGAGCCAAAAGGGUGCCACAUGGCAGUGGCCAAAGUAGAAGCCAAACAGGAGUAGCAUGUUUGGACUAAGAAUGCCGACUUGAAAAAUCAAGAGUGGGAGUGGAACUCCCAAUGAAGGGCUUGGGGAACAAACACGAAGCAAGCAACAAGUGAGUCUCUAGAAAAGGGACAAAGGGACCAACAUAGGACAUAUGGAAGUGUCAAAGAAGGAGUAUGAGGAAGAGUCCCAGAUGGACCCGAGGAGGAGUCUAAGAUGGACCCGAAAUGCAGUCCGAGAUGGGUCCGAAAUGGACUAUGAGAUGGAUCUGAAAUGGAAUCUGAGAUGGAGUUUGAGAUGGAUUCGAGAUGGAAUCCAAGAUGGAGUCUGAGAUGGAGUUCGAAAUGGACCCGAGAUGGAAUCUGAGAUGGAGUUCAAGAUGGACCUGAGAUGGAGUUCGAGAUGGAAUCCAAAAUGGACCUGAGAUGGAGUCUGAGAUGGAGUCCAAGGUGGAACUGAGACUGAGAUCGAGACCAAGACUAAGACUGAGUCCAAGUCUGAGUUUGAGUCCAAGACCGAGACUAAGUCCAAGUCCGAGUUAGUUCAAGUCCGAGUCCGAAUACUAAUACAAGUUGUUGGGUGAAAGCCCAAAGCGAUUGUCCCCCGGGGGGGGGGGGGCGCUGCAAAGGGUUCCAAAAGUAUAGUAAGGGGAGGGUGGGGGUUGGACCCCCGUGGAGUUAGUUUGGCCCGGAAAGGCCAGUUUGGCCCCGGAAGGCCAUACCCCACUGUUGGGGGAUGGGAUGACCACUAGGAAGUCCAAGGCUAGAGUGAAUACGGACUGACAAGCGGGAUGGCUUGGUGAAGUAUUCAAGAGUUGGCUCUAUUUCCCUCGGGAGAUCAAAUAGUCAAUGCUCCCAAUACAAGCAUAGGUGGCACUACCUACUUGGAUACCUAGCAUGGCUCAAUAGAACCUUGCUCUAAAUCCAUGGCUAGAGCACCUAAAGGCGGAAGGUGGGGAGAGUACCUAUAAGGCUCGCAUAGGGCCACGGUGUUCUAAAUUGUUGUCCCAAAGUCUUAGAUUGUGGAAAGGAAGAGGAAUAGUCCUCUAGUGUAGUGACCAAAGCUACAGUCAUGUGGCAAGGUAGUCCCAAAGGAUCGUGGGACUUAGUGGUCGAGCCUAUGGGCCUUGAUCCAAUGGUAGUGUUGGUGCACACGGCCAUGGACAGAAAAGGAUUUGGUAGGGACUAUGAAAGGGAUAUUGGGGAAGGCUGUUCCCCAUGUUUGCGGGCAUUUUAAAGAUGCUAAGGAGUGGAUCUAAGAUGGUCACUCAUGGACAAAUGGCCUAGUUUUUGAGAAACGGGAUUGCGAUGUAAAAUGGUGCUGGACCACCGGUGUGACCAAAGUGAAUGGGCAUGGCCUUAGCAUAACGGGGGCUGGUAUGUCGGUGGUGCCUUAGGGUGUCGGUCAUGGGAUUGGACACAUGGAGCACUUGGACAAAGUGCAAAGGUUGAGUGGCAUGGAUGCCAUUCUCGAGGUUAGCAAGCCGAAGUCCUAAAUUGGACUUAUGAAUGUUGUGAAUGAGACUCCUCUAAAUGGUUAAAAGUGUGGUUAAGUGACUAAAGUAGAAUGAAAAAAUUAGUUGCUUACAACUAAGUCAUCCACUUUGUACUCUACACCUAGAUGAUGAUAAGAGUUGUACCCACUUGUACGUGGCCAAAUAUUCAAUAAACUCCACUUGGACAAGUGGAAUAAUGCUUGUUGAAUAUUGAUCCUAAGACUUAAUAUUAGCAACUCGUGGUAGUCAUGAAAGUAAACUCAACUUUAUUGGUAGUAUCAAAUCAUGACCAUAUAAAAGUUUAUAUAGUGAAGCACUAACAAAAGUUUAUAUUGCUACAAUAUAUAUAUUUAAAAGAGAUGGUAAAUAUCCAUCCCAAUCCGAAUACUAAAAGUUCAUAUAUUUCACGAUCAUUCUUUUGAAGAUUUGAACAAACUAUUUCACCAUGAUAAGCACUUAUAAAAGUGUGGUGUAUCCCUAAUCAAGAUGUUAAAAAUCCGAAAUGCCUCAACCAUAAAUAUAGGACUAUUAUAUGAAAGAAUCCACUCAAGAUAGAAAUGUUGAAAUAUCACUCAAUUGAGAAAGAAGUACCUAAUAAUAGUCACUAAUGCAUUAGCAAAAGCAUCAACUUCCACUCAGAAAGUUAAGUAAUUGGAGGCAAUAAUAACAUACUCAUUGCCAAUAGUGAAUUGUGGAAAAGGCCUUAUUAAAUCAAAUACCAUUAACUCAAAUAGACAGGAAGUUACAAUUGACUCCAAUUGUCCUUUCACAACAUAAAGGGGAACAUUAUAAGCUUGGCAUUAAACACAACUACACAUAUACCAAAUAACAUUAUAUUGCAUCUCUAGCCAAUAGAAAAACCCAUGCAACUUCUCAAUUAUAUGCCAAUGUCUUAUAUACCUAUCUAGAAUAAAAGAGUUAUGAUAAACAUAGAGAAAGUGUAAAAUAAAUAUUAAAGGCACCAUUAGCCAUAAAUGAUUAUCAUGAUCAGUCCCAACAAAAUAAAAAAUAGUAUUCUCAAGGUGAUAUUGAGAAUAUAAAUGCCAAAAUAGCAAAUCAUCAAUAAAUAAUGCAAGAUUCUUAAAGGCCUCACAAAGCCUUUAGAUCCAUAAAUCAACUUUUUAAGCUUCAUGAAGCUCAUGGUAAAUUUUUCUUUACACUUUAUAGACACUAAACAUCAUGUAUAAUAACUAUUAAUAGCACAAGAUCCUUAUCCAAAAAAUUCACAGAUACUAAAGUAAUAGGCUUAUCAGGAACAAGAGAAAAGAGUGAAGAAGGGAGAGGAGCUUAAGAAAUGGUAUCAAUAUUAGCCAUAGAACUCUUUAGGCAAUGAACAACUUUGAAAUCAUAUAUUUAAAAUUUAGGGCCCACCAAAUAAUAUGACCAAUCAAGUUCCUCCACUUCAAUAAUGAAGUAGCUACAACAUGAUCAACUUUUAGUAAUGUCUAAGAACCAUGUAAAUACGCAUGAAGCUUUUCAAAACUCUAAAUUGUUACUAAACACUCCUUCACUAUUAUAGAGUACUGUAAAAUCUUGAGUUUAGACUUCUCAAGAGGUCAUCCAAGCCAGUACUAUUGAAGCUCAAAAAUGAUUAACUCCAAGUAUUCUAAUACCCUUAACUUAUUGGAAAAGAAGUGGUUGUUUGCUGCCUUGCUUUUGGCAAUUGGCCAGCCCCACCAAAAACCCUCCUUGUCACACUCACCAUAGUCAUACACACACACCCCCCAUCUCUCUCUCUCUCCCUCUCUCUCUCUUCCACUCAUUCAUCACUAUUGAACCUUCCUUCCUUCCUCCCCCCCCCUGACUGAUUGACUAACUAACUAACUUAUUGACUUACUUACCAUCUCCCUCGGGCUCCCCUGCUUGGAGCUUUCCGGCCUGCCACCGCUAACACCCAACCCACCUUGGUCGUGCCAAUAUGGCUAAUGGACGAUGAUCGUUGUUUUCAACCACCAACCAACAAAUUGCCGAUCUAAGUCCUCUCCCUCACAGGCACCAGUUGUCUUCUUCUUCUUCUUCGGGGUGCUGCACUUGCCGCACCUCUUCCCAACCACCCUGGGACACUCCCAUCAUCACCACCAUCAUCAUCAUGAUGGCACCUCUUGUCUCCUCUACUUUGCUCUCUGGGCCAGGAGUCAUCUUCGAAGAGACAUGGGCUGGUGUCUACUACUAUGGAGGAAAGGCUUGAUGGUGGUGCACACUGCACACACUGGCGGGGGAGUGGUCCGGCCAGGAAAGAAAGAGAGGGCAAGGGCAGAUUGGAUGGGGGUCAGCUGCGGCAUUUUGGGCGACUACCCAGGAGAGGGGAGGCCAUGUUAGUCAAUGGUUGGGUCUCUCUCUAAGAAAGAAGGGUGGCACUAUCUACAUGGCGGGCGCUCAGAGGCUGAUAGGACAUAGAAUGGGUCUCUCUCACAUAUACAGAGAACACUCUUGAUGAUAGGGCGGCGUGGAUCAAUGCAUGUAGGGGUGUUGGGCCCAUAGGGAACAAUGGGAUGUCAGAGUGGCCCCUUUUUGGGUGGGUAUCAUGUGGCGCACCCAUCAAUCAAAGCGAACUCGGCCAGCAUGCACAUGAUGCAUAGGGUGUUCUUCAUCUUCUGUUGGGGCUAUUGGCUUGCCUCGCCCGGUACAAGUGUGGCCCAUAGAGCGCAUGUGGCAAGUGAGGCAAGUUUUUACCCAGGAAUGGGCUCUCCUAGGCUAGUAGUCGAGGUCAUCGUGUGUCAGUGUUAGUAGGGUUUUUUGUUCGAGGCAAUAGUGGGGGAUGGUUUCAGUGUUAGUGGGCCUUUCCUAGGUACACUUUUAUUCAUGGGCCCUUUCUUUUAUAUUUAAAGCUCUAUGAAUCAUCUCUCGAGUUAUUCUCUUUAGUUGUUUACAAUCCACUAUGCUUUUUUGCAAGGUUAAGUCCUUAUAAAUAGAAUUUGAGAGCCAUAGCUUUCUCGAGAGCCCUUCUCUCUUGACACCCUAUCCCUCGGGUCAAGGGCAUACUGGACCUACUAGAUGUCAUUUUUAACAUAUGGUGUAAUUCUCCUAGUCAACUGAUAGAGUUGGACCCAAGACUUUUCUGAUACUAAAUGUAAAAUCUUGAGUUUAGACUUCCCGGGAGGUCACCCAAACCCAAGGACACUUAACCCUAAGUAUCUCAAAACCCUUAAGCAAUUGGAAAAAAAGGUGCACUCUUAUUCAUGGGCCUUUUCCCUCUACUUACAUGUAGUUUAUCUCUACUAAUUGUAAUGUAUGGCUAAUGUAUGCAAUAGGAUGGUGUUGCUUAAGCACACUCAAGCUCUCUUGCAUUAACACACCUCCAAAAUUAAUAUCAAAAGCAUCCAUGUGCAAUAAAUGUAGUUAGGAUAUACCAAAAUUAGAGGAGUCACCACUAACUUUUUGAGAUUUGUAAAUGCCCAUUCAUAGUUUAUAGACUAAAUGAAAAACAAUAUUGAUGACUUCAAUUACACUUGCAAUGGUGUAAUAUGAUUAGAAAGAUGAUAAAACAAAUGACUAAGAUAUUGCUCCAUGCCUAAAAAGCAUACACUUCAGAAUAAGGAACUUUAAAAUAGCCACAAGUAAGUCAAGAUCAACUUAUAAAUCUUCAUAAAAAAUAUGGUAUCCAAGAUAAGUCUUAUCCUUAGAUCACUUCAGCUACUUUAGGUUUAAACUAACUUCCCCCAAUUCAACACUUUACAAAUAUUAUAGAUGUGCUUUUUUUACGUCCCCUCCAAAUGGAUUAAAACAUCUUUGAUAAAAUCAGCAAUCAUCUCUAACUUAUUGCAAAGAAUCUUGUCCAUCUAUGCACCUCAAAGAACAUUGUCCAUCAUACACCUCAUUUAUUAAUCUGUAUUUACUUUAGUUUUGGACUUCCUAGUGGUCAUUUCAUCACCCAACAGCUGGGUAUGGCCUUCUUAGGCCAAACUGGCCUUUCCUGGCCAAACUGGCUUUACUGGGAUCCAACCCCCACACUCUCCCUACUAUACUUUUGGAACCCCCUACAACCCCCUUCGGAGGACAAUCACUUUGGGCUUUCACCUAACAGCCUGUAUUAGUAUUUGGACUCGGACUUGGUCUCAGUCUUGGUUUUGGACUCGGACUCGGUCUUGGUCUCAAUCUCGCUCUCGGUUCCAUCUCAGACUCCAUUUCGGACUCCAUCUCGGACUCCAUCUCAGGUCCAUCUCGGACUCCAUCUUGGGUCCAUCUCGGACUCCAUCUCGGGUCCAUCUUGGACUCCAUCUCAGCUCCCAUCUCAGACUCCAUCUCAGGUCCCACCUCAGACUCCAUCUCGGGUCCCAUCUCAGACUCCAUCUCAGGUCCAUCUCAGACUCCAUCUCAGGUCCAUCUCGAACUCCAUCUCAGGUCCCAUCUCGAACUCCAUCUCAAGUCCCGUGCUAGUCCUCUUGUGUCCCUUUCUAGAGACUCACUUACGGCUUGCUUCGUGCUCGUUCUUGAGCACUUCAUUGGGAGUUCCACUCCUACUCUUGACUUUUCAAGUUGGAGCGUUUAAUCCAAACGUGUUAUGCUCAUUUGGCUUUCGCUUCAGCCACUAUCACAUGACACCCUUUCGGCUCCACUUUGGGGCUUAGGGAUUUGUGUCUCAUAACUCCAGCACCCAUAGACAAAGUUUGAUAUCCUCAUCGAAUGAUAAACUAUUUUAUAAAGUAAUAUUAGCCAAUAUUUGUCAAUGGUUUGAGACCAAAGGCUCAUUAUGCCUUGUCCAUCCUCUAAGGAGUAUAAUCUCUCCAACAUAAAGACUGGUUCGACCACCUGUGCUGGUUUUCUCCCUUUUAUUGGUUUAAUUCUCACUAAACCCUUUAGAGACACCUCUUUCUCAAUUCCACUAGUCAUUCUUGAGUAGUCUCAGUUUCCAUUGAUAUAAACUUUGCACUUUGGAACUUUUAAUUUUUACUUCUCGGAGUCAAUUUCCUGGGUGUCUUCAACACCUUGCAUUGCACAUUUUGUGCAACUCUACUUCUCCAUCCUAGGAAGUUCUCUACUCAAGGGCACUAUCAUCCUCUUUUCUAUUUUAUGCCACAUUUGGCACUAAGUUCCAGUUAUCCUAAUUUAUGCUAGGGCUGUCCACAACUUUAUCAUUUAGUUACUUUAUUGCUCCCUACCUUGGAACUUUUACCUUCGCCAAAUCAGAAUAAUUGGGAAUCUAUCCUUAGAAAUACAUUACCUCCCCACAAUCCGUUAGCAUUUGACAUAUUAGUGUUUUUGGCCUAACUUUGCCAUUUGGGUUCUAUUUCAGGAUUCCCAUGGCUCUUUUCUUAGCCACUAGUCUUUUGCUCUUAUCCAUUAAUUGUUGCACCAAACAACAUAGGAUCACUACCUCCAUCCUUGAGAUAUUCUUUUGGUUCCAUAGCAAAAACUCUACUUUGCCAAGUUUAAAGAGUGUUCACCCCUAGUAGGUCUUUUUAGCAUUUUCUGUUAUGGGUUCCAUCCACUACCUAACUUCGUGACCCUCCCAUAGGUUUCUCCUAGAGACUACUUUCUUUUGGACUCACUAUACCAUUACCUUGACAUAACUCAUUUCCCAUAAGUGUUUUUCCCACUUGAUCACCUUGACCAAGCCACAUCAUUAUCAUUAACUCAAAUUGAUAUUUUGAACUAGGAACCUUAUUCUUUACCCAAACAAGGACAUUGUCCUUAUUUAGCCACAAGAUCAUUUAAAGAUCUCAUUUUGGCACCUUAACAGGUUUGCCAAUAAAUACUAAGUCUUCCAAACUUUUAAGUUGUUGACCAUAACCCCGAGGGCAUCCCCCACACUUGGUGGUGCACCCAAGCCAGCCCUUCCAGCCAAAGGUCCAUAGCAACUGAGAUUGGGUGUCUCCAUCUCUUUCACCACGUCCUUGGUGCCACUUACACCAAAGUGUUCAAGUUAGAUAUGCCGAGCUUUCACAUUAAGCAAUUUAACCAUGUAUCACGACUCCGAGGCAUCCCCCGCUUGGUAGUGUGCCCAAGCUAGUCUCCUUACUAAAAGUCCAUAACCACCGAAAAAUGAGUGUCCUUAUAUUCCAAACCAUCACCUCGCCCUAGUGAGUUGGGACUUGAACCUAAGCACUAGAGGGUCAGGACUUGAACCCAACCUCCGUAUAUGCAUUUACAGACAGCAUUACACAGGAUGCUUGGCGUGACUCCCCACGCCAGUGCACCAACUUAUAUUUAAAACACACUACAAAGUUCCUCUAAACUGCCAAAUCCUCUCAUUUAACAAAUCUAUGAUCAUGCAUGGACUUGCCAAUCUUGCUUAGCAAGUCAUCUAACCAACGUAACAUGGUUUUAUGUAUAAGCGUGAAAAUCCUUAAUCAUUAAUUUUCAUUCAAAGCUAUCCCUUUGAACACUCGAGAACUACUUCCCCAAUUUUGAUAGUAUUACCUUAUGACAAGCUUUAAGACCACGCUUCUACUGUGCCACUCUAAUUUCACGCGUUUUAUAAAACCAUUUACACUUGGCUUUUUAGGUACUAAGCUAUCUAGAAUUGUCUUUGGGAACUUUGAAGGAACUCAGUCCCUUAGCUUGCUAAAGCUUCUCCUUUCGCAAGCUUUCUAAUUGUUAUAUGGUCUAACAUGGAUAAUUCUAUGAUCUAGACUCUUCAUGGCACCAUAGUUGCUAAUAGCGAUAUGUUUGAAUGCCCACUUGAUUCUCCACUCCUAACUGACAUAACCACCCUUAGUUCGAUUCUUAUAGUUUGGUUCUAUCCCCUUACUACUUGCUUUUGGCCUUACAUAUUUCCUUUAGCUAUUCGCCUCCAGACUAGGAGGAUAGCUUUGCACUUUUUACCAUGCUUUAACAAGUAUUUUUAGGGAUGGAGCUACUUGAGAGCCUAGGGAGUGGUUUGUCAAUCCAGGUAUGCUCACAUUAUAAUCCCACAUACCGGGAUUAACGUUGCUACUUAUAGGCCUUUAUAUACCUAUCACUAGCCUUGCCAAAAUUCCAUUUUUGGCUUUGGUAGACGGUUUUUUCAUAUUUUUGCAACUUUGGAUGUUUGGAUAGCACAUUUUAUCCAUCAUUCGCUAGGGACUUAGUCCCUUAGGCCUUAUUUAUUGCCUUCACAACACUAAACACCACCUCCUAGUGUUCUAGAGUGUUUAGGUGUCCUAAUGAUAGCUUCUUUAACAAUGAACAUUCCCUUUUACGACAUUGACUUAGUAUAUUGCAUAAAUAAUUUAUCCCUCAUAAGAGUAUCUCUAACUUCCUUAUGCCAUUAAGAAGUCUUGGGUAACUAUCUUUUACUAGUUUAAUCAAUUCUUUUGCACAUUUUGCUUAGUUGCCUCAUAGUUGUCAAAUCCUACAAUUCAUUGCUGGUGUUUCUAAACUUCCAUCAUUAUUUAAGUCACCACACUCCAAUUGCAUGUCUUCCAGUUUAGGCUAUGCCAUUCCCAUUUCCAUUAGGAUUCCUUUGAGAAGGGGUUCUUGUGAACUUACCAACUUGACCUCAAGGCAUCAUACUUUGGCACAUUCGAUGUUUCCACACUAUCAACUCCACGAGCUUACCUUUAUGACACUUUUUAUUUGUGUCUAGGUCUUUGCCAAGACCAAUACAAUCAUUUCUCAUGCCAACUAUCCAUUCACACUGCACCAUAUAAUUUAUAUACAACUUUGUGUUAAAGUUGUUUUCUUUUGAGAACUUCUUUCCCACGACUUUAGUAUAGCUCAUUCUACCAUCAAUGAGAUACCCACUAUUAUUAUACUUGGAUUUUAUAAUCCUCCCCCUCCUUCGUGGGGUACAACACACCUCCGUCCAAAUGCUUCCACCAGUUCUUUAGGACGAUUCUUUGACUCCACUUGAAUCAUCUAGCUUUAUGAACUUCAUUAAUCAAAUGACCUAUAAAGUCUUAUUUUUGAGGUGCCAACUCACUAGAAUAUAACUUCGUGUAUUCAUGUCCUACUCAUAAGGACCAUCUUUGCAAAUUUUAUUCUAACACUCGAUUAUUUUCCACUCUCUGUGUGCUGCCUUUGCCCUUUAGAACUAUCUGUCCAUAUAAUGAGAAUACCGACUCAUCCUUUGAGCACACCCCCAACUCCUUGGGUUUGAUCCAGCAUUUAUAAAAGGUAGCCCUAACUACCAUUUCAAAGAUUUGUGUCCUCAUCUGUAUUUGACCUCUCAUAGUCAUUAAUUCUGGUUUCAAAUUUAUGAGCACCAGCCUCAACUAUAUGAGGAUAAUCUUGUGACUCCUUUAUUGUUUUGAAGUUUUUAUCUUUCCUGUGAUCCUAACUAUAGUUUUUUACCACAACCACAUUAGCUAGUUUGCUAAGUCAAACGCUCAUUUGGAUCAUAUUCUCAACUCUCUAAGAAAAACUUUAUAUUAUUCCCAAGAUCCCAAAGUCGUUCCAUUAUUGGCCCUUUUCUAUCCACCACCUCAUAUACAAGUUCACAUAUAAACUGUAGUGGAGAGUCAUGUCCUCCCGACAUGCUACUCCUCAAGGAUAAGCCCAUUCCUAGGAUCUUUUGAUGUCAACACAAGUGGUGAUAUAUUUGAGCACCAAUAAAAGUCGAACUAAGGAACAGCUUCGAUACCAAAUUGUAAGCGAUUAAAUUUUUCAUUCUACUUUAGUCACUUAACCACACCUCCAACCACUUGGAGGAGUCUCACUCACAACCUCCAUAAGUCCUAUCCCGGACUUGGGCUUGUUAGCCCCGAGAAUGGCAUCCCCGCCACUCAACUUUUGCACUUGGUCGAAGUGCUCCACGUGUCCAAUCCCAUGACUGACACCCCAAGGUACCACCGACAUAUCAACCCAUUACACUAAGGCUAUGCCCCUUGACCUUGGUCACACUGGUGGUCUAACACCACUUACAUCACAAUCCCGUCUCUCAAAGACUGGGCCAUCCAUCCAUGAGUGAUCAUCCCAAAUCCACUCCUUAUCAUCCUUAGGAUGCUCGCAGACAUGGGGAAUAACCUUCCCCAAUAUCCCUUUUUUGGUCCCCACCAAGUCCCUUUCUAUCCAUGGCCGUGUUCACCAACACUGCCAUUAGAUUAAGGCCCACAGGCUUGACCACUAAAUCUCACGGUCCUCUGGGACUUCCUCCCCAUAUGAUUGUAUCUUUGGUCUCUACACUAGAGGACUGCUCCUCUUCCUUUCCAUAGUCUGGGACAUUAGGACAACCUUUCGGAACACCAUGGCUUUAUGCGAGCCUUGUGGGUACUCUCCCUACCUUCCGCAUUUGGGUGCUCUAACUAUGGGCUUAGAGCGAGGUUUCGUUGAGCCACACUAGGCAUCCAAGUAGGUAGUGCCACCCAUGCUUGGACUAGGAGCAUCGACCAUUUGAUCUCCUGGGGGAACUAAAGCCAACUCUUGAACACUUCACUAAGCUACCCUACUUGUCAAUCCAUAUUCACUCUAGUCUUGGACUUCCUAGUGGUCAUCUCAUCACCUAAUAGCUAAGUAUGGCCUUCUUGGGCCAAACUAACUCCACUGGGAUGCAACCCCCACACUCUCCCUAUUAUACUUUUGGAACCCCCUACAGUCCCCCCCCCCCCCUCCCCCAGGGGGACGAUCACUUUGGGCUUUCACCCAACAGCCUAUAUUAGUAUUUAGACUCGGAAUCGAACUCAGAUUCGGUCUCGGUCUCGGUUUCGGACUCGGACUCGGUCUCGGUCUUAGUCUCGGUCUCGGUUCCAUCUUAGGCUCCAUCUCAGACUCCAUCUUAGGUCAUCUCGGAAUCCCUCUCAGACUCCAUCUCGGGUCCAUCUCGGACUCCAUCUCAAGUCCAUCUUGGACUCCAUCUUGAGUCCCAUUUCGGACUCCAUCUCAGGUCCCAUCUCGGACUCCAUCUCAGGUCCAUCUCAGACUCUAUCUUGGGUCCAUCUUGGACUCCAUCUCGGGUCCAUCUCAGACUCCAUCUCGGGUCCCAUCUCGGACUCUAUCUCAAGUGCAUCUUGGACUCUAUCUUGGACUCCAUCUCUAGUCCCAUGCUAAUCCUGUUGUGUCCCUUUCUAGAGACUCACUUACGGCUUGCUUUGUGCUCGUUCUUGAGCACUUCGUUGGGAGUUCCACUCCCGCUCUCGACCUUUCAAGUCGGAGCAUUUAGUCCAAAUGUGUUAUGCUCGUUUGGCUUUUGCUUCGACCACUACUACGUGGCACCCUUUCAGCUCCACUUUGGGGCUUAGGGAUUUGUGUCUCACAUCAAGGACUUUAUUACUUUUUGAUAACACCCUUUCGUAACAUCUUAUCAAUGUUUGUGGGUAAAAUUUUGAUCUCCUUUGAUAACUAAUACUAAACAAGACUGAUUGGAAGAGAAUCCAUAGUUAGAAUAAGAUGACAUGUUGCAAUCUUUAACCAUAAACAAUAGGUCAAAGUUAAAAAGAUCAAUAUACUCUUUGAGUUAGUCCAUUAUUAUAACACAAAGACCGUUGGAGUGAUCUGGAAAGGGAAUAGAGGAGCAAGAUGGAAAUAUAGUAGAAAGUGGUGGGGAGAUAAAAGUGAUGGAAGUAAAGGUAGAGGAAGAAGGACAAAGGAGAACAAAAGUGAGAGGAUUGAAAAAAAUAUAAAAAAGUAUAAAAUAAAGGGGAGAAACCUCAAAGUCACAUUUGACAUGAUUGAAUAACAAUUAAUUUAUACUAAGGAUGAGAUCAAAAGUUUGACUUAGCACCAUCUGCAGCCUUUUGAAAUUCAAACUCAAGAUCUUCUAUACGCACAACUAGGUCCAUCUCAUCCUGUGCACAUGCAUGUAUAUAGCUGUUACCAUAAAGAAUGAAAAUUAGUUCUGCCGCAUGAUACAAUUGUAGAUAGCAACAUGUGAUAACAGGUUGAGCAAUAAAAGAUAAUUUCAAACUUGUAUCAACCAACAAAGAGAAAAUAAUAUAAGCUCAUUUUUCUAGAAUAAGUUUGAAAAAUAAACACUAGAUAAACUGGUGUCGAAUGAACCCCUUAAUGGUGCUCUUGAAAGAAGGAUGGAGGUGUCGUGAAUAUAACUUCGGGUAUUGAAAGUUAUCUGUUGGCUAGUCCUUUCGGAUAUUCUUUCCUUACUGCCAUGAUGGCAGGAGGUUGAUAUUGCUGAACCCAUUAUUAGUUUCUGCCUAAGCUAGUUGAAAAAUUGGUCUUCAUAUGUGCACUUGACCAGAUGAGCAUAAGGACGGAAUUCCUAAGUGCUCUUAAUCAAGCAUACUUGACCUAGUUAGAGAAAUUCAUUCUUUGACUUACACUUGUUAGUGUUGGGAACCCCCACGAUAUUGAGCUUGGUCCCUUAAUAUAGCAAAAUGAUAGCUUAUCGUGUCUACCAAACACCCUCGCUAUCAUGCCCUUUGUGUUAGUCUUAUUCCGGUCCCAAAAACUAUUUAUGGAAAGUGUCUAAAUUUGCUCAUUUGGCAUAUCUACGGAAUGUAAAGAUUGUUCUGAACACAAUGGUGUUUAUCCCAUGUCCAAAUUCACAAUUUAGAGACAUUCCAUAUUUAGUAAGUUUCAAGCUUGUCCCAGGGACUAACUCCUAAUACUAAAGGAGGCUUGGGGUGAAAGCCCAAAGCAUGUGUUCUUCAGGGGGGGGGCACUAUAGGGAGUUCCAAUAGUAGGGAUAGUGGGUAAGUCGGCCAUGGCCGACCAACCUGAAGCAUAGUCCAGCUCCCACUUGCGUACUUAUCCUUGUUCUACAUUCGGCUUAGGUCUAAGCCCAAAUCUAAGCCUAAAUUCCAUUCCAUGCUAACUAGUGGAAUACCCUAUCUUUGCAUUAGGCCACUGGUAUGCUGAAAUAACACCAAACUCCAUUUUGCUCUGUUUAGUCCUAGUAUUAGGAUGCUAGAUACUCUAAGACUUUUCCAAGUCACUCUGUGCUCCUGUCCCUUCACUUCUUGGGUUGUAUGCUCAAGAGUUGCUCUAUGGUCUAGUUCCAUCACUCUUUGGCUCCAUUCUUGGGAGUUUGGCACUGUUCCUAGGUUCAAUGGCUCAAGGCUCUGAAACUCAAGUUCCACACCACUGUUUUUUAACCACAUGACAUGUGACAUGUGGCACAUAAAGGGUUUAAGUUCUGCUUCGUGGUGUUAUCCUAUGGUAAAUCAUCAUAGGAUAAAGGGUAAAAACCACGUGCACUACAUUUGGUAUUAGAGAGUGAGUCUCGGCGAGUACUAUCCAAUGAUAUUGGGCAACUAGUCUCAUUACAUAUGCAAAAAUGAAAAUGAUGAUCCAAGUGGGUACACGUUUGGGUGCUAAGACUUCGCAUUCGUUCCUUGGGUAUGGAUUUUGGUUACCUUUUUGUACUAUAAUAAUGUGAGCUUACUCUUGGGCUCAUAAAAGGGAUUGAGUUAUUCUGUUUGCAUGACUUUGCGCUUGGGCUUGUGAGUGAGGCACAUUAGCAACUUAAGAUUACACUUUGAGUUGGCAAGAUGGAUUUGAGGUGUAUUGUUUUAUACGAGUUUGUUCUUAGGCUCAUAAGUGAGGCACAUUAACAACUCAAGGUUACAUUUUGAGUUGACAGGAUUAAUGUUAGCAUAUCGGUGGUUCCAUGAGUUGUUUCAUGUACCAUGGGUGAAAAUAAACCUUCCUUGGGUUUGCUAUGAGUGGCAAAUAGGUUGGUCCAUAACUAUUUAGCAUAGCACUAUUGGAUCAUUCUUAGGCAUGAUUACAAGUGAAUCAAUCAAGAUUGUAGGGAUUAGUUUAUUGGUUCAAGUAGUUAUUGCCGUGCUCUCUCAUAAACUUUUCUUAGAUUGGACUGAAGGUAGUGCGAAUGCAAGCUUGAGGUUUAGUCAAAUAUGAGACCGAAAAGAGAGUCAUCAAGGGCGAAGGAUCAAACACAUAAAUUAUUUUCUCUUCUUUGAGAGAUGAUUUGCAACGAGAUGUUAGCUCAUUGCUCAUGUUCACAUUAUGCAAUCAAGAGUUCCUACCUUGAUGCAUAUUGGAAAUGAUGGUCUUGCAAAUUGUGAGUCGUGGGAUGGAUAGUAAUGAAGUACUAAACCAUUUUGUCUAGGCUUGCUAUUGGAAAAUUGAGGUUAUAAUGUUUAAUUCUUUUAUAAGGAACCUUGUUAUUGCUCUUUGAGUAGCUUGGUGUUGAAUUAGGUUUGAGUUUGGUUGGAUAGAGAGUGGCAUGAGCUUAUCCAUGUUGUGCAUAAAAGUUAGUGGUGUUAGGCAUUGUAAGUCUCUAUUGGUGAAGUGUGGCAUUUAUGUUGCAUUUUGUCGAAUUGAGUUGACACUUGAUACUCACGUAAACCUUUGUAGUAGUGAUAUAUGCAUUGCUCAUGGUGUUGCUCAAUUGAUGAUCAAGUCAUUAUAAUACUUAUAUCAUAUCCAUGUGAUAAUGAAUAAUGUGUUUACGAAGUUGCUUGGUUAAAUGAUGAUCAACCCCAAAUUGGUUGAUGGUAAAGCUAGUCUACUUGCACGAAGUAGUAUUGUAAUAGCAUUGACUAGAUUCGCAAUGGUAGUCUAUUAUGCUAAGCUUAAGUUGGUACCUUGAUUCUUAAAGGUUUGCCCAUUAAGGUGUUGGAAAAAAGUUGUAACAUUCAUUUGUUAUAGCUUGUCAGUUAAUCCAUUAGCACUUUGAGUAAAUUGUUGCAUAGAGAAAAUGUAGUUGAGGCAUUGGCAUUUCUAAUACUUGUAUUAGUGGAAGUGGCAUUAUUAUUUUGAGUGAUGAGGAAUUUUCCUUAGAACUUGAUUUUUUAUGUCAUUUUUCUUAUUAGUGUUUGGGCUUCACAUUGGAUCUUAAAGUUGGUUAAAUGCAAUAUGGAUAUUCGAAGAUGUGGUCUUCAUGAUCAAGCCUUAGAUGUUCACUUUGCAUUUUGUGGAUGUCGGUGUUGGAUGCCGGAUAUAUGGGCAAAGAUGUUUGAUGCUUAAGCAUAUUAUUGGAUCAUGAAAAUUUGUGUUAAAGUGAACCUAUGUGAAGUAGUAGGUAGGAGGAAGUUGGUUGAGUCUUGAAAAUUUAUAUUUUUAGACUAAGAAUUAUUCUUUCUCUAAGAUGGAAAUUUUUUCUUAGGCUUUUCCAAUGGUUAAUUUAUUGAUCACUUUGCUCGAAAACCAUUCCGUUUUUGUAAGUCAGUACAAACUAGUGAAGGGGGUGGAGUUAACUUUGGUUAACUUAAACCUUAGUAGGUAGUUUGUAUAAUGCAAUGUUAACUUUUGGAGCUAAGGCAAUUAAGUUGGAUAGAGUCUGGAGUUAGUGUAAGAAAGUGGCCAUUGCACUUUUCUAAAAAGGGUGCCUUUCUUCUAUAGUAUUAUGCUUAGUGAUAGGUUGCACCUUGCAUUUUGUUAAGACUCUAUGAAAGUAGUGAACUUUCACUAAUCUUGACUUAGUCUUGGUAGUCUUGCACCUUGGUUGAGGAUAGUGAUGUCCAACUUAGUUGUUUGUGGUUAAGGUGUUAGUAUCCGUACUAUAACUUUGUUUAUAUAGAGGUUGUGUACCGAUAUAAGUCCAUCUCAUGAUCAUCACUUUAGUUUCGACUGAGUGUUGAUUAUGUGUAGCUAGCUUCUUUAAGGCAUGCUCAGAGCUAUUGGCUAAAUGUGUUGGUGAGCUUAUUAUGGUUGAGUUGGAUUCGAGUUGUCAUUUAGUUUAUACUUAUUCAUGAACCUUUAUCUCGUACCUGGGGUAUUACGUUCAUGUUGGACAAAUAUAUGACUUGAUGAUAUGAGUUUAGUGUUUGGGUCUUAUGAAGGCAAGUUGAAAGAGUGAUUGUUAGUUGCUUGACAAUUAAUGAUUGCUUGUAGACUUCAUUGAGGAUUGUUUGACACUUGCUUCACUCGAUGAUGAUUUAGCAGUGAUAAAUUUUCUUUAUCGGAUGGUGUUGCGGAUGAUCGUGUCGUUAGACUUACAUGGGUUUUCCAUGUUGGCAUAUCGAUUUUACCUUUGUUGAUUUUAUUUGGUUGCAUUUAGUUCAUAGUGUUGGAUUUCAUUGAGUCUUACACGUAGUGAAUUACUCAUUGAUGAAGUGUUAUUUGUAACUAAGUUUUGCUGAAGGAUUGUUCUCGGAUACUAGAUAUAGUAUUUUUGACUUUGGUUAGCUUGGUUGUAAAAGAGUUUUGAAUGGUGAUUCACUCUUACGUUCUUAUAACUUUGUUUUGGUGUUAAUGGCAUUGGGGCAUUGGGGUUGGGUAGUUUUGAGCUGAGCUCAAAUCAAUGAAAGUCAACAAAAGUCAAAGGAAGUCAAUACAAUCCCCUAACUAGCGAAAGUUUAAUGGCACUACCUUAGUUCGUCCCAAACCAAGAAUUUUUAACAUAAAAUCUAGGUGUUUAAGGUAUUCUAUAAACUCAUGUAGAUUAUUGGUUCGAUACGAACUAAUCUUUUAGUCUACAAAGAAAGAAAAUAAUAUAUUAAACAACAUAAUUUAUAUUAAAAUCAGAAUAUAUUCAAUCUUCUUCUGCUUCCAUAUCCAGAAAAGUAGAAAUGGGUAUAGUGGAAUACUCCUUCACUAUAGGCUCGUGUUGUAUGUAAUGUUAUGCUAUACGUUCAGCAUAAAUAGGUAAGUGGAAUUGACUUCGGUCCAUAUGAUCAUUCCAUAUCAUCAAGAUUAAGCGUGUGGACUAAAACACUAUGUGUGAUAAGUGUAGACCUAAUGACAUAGAAACAUUCGAGAAUAAAUAUUAUAGAUUAUUUCAAGCACUAACAUCACCUGUUGCAAAAUCUUCUAAGAAUGUCCUCAAAGGCACCCUCCUUCUCAAGUGCAAAAACAGCUUGGCUUAUCUCUUUCACUGCCUGCACCAUUGAUCCAAAUCCUACUAUAGCAUCAAGCACAAUCCCCUUUAACGGACAGAAUAACUCCAACAAGAUCUACAUGGCCAUGAUUGAAUGAUGUCGAUAACUAGGGAAUGCUAGGUGAAGAAUGUCUAAGUCAAUCACAUUUGGGAUAAUGUCUGUAGAGCUGUCAUAUCCUGGUAAAGAAAGAGCAGCACACUCAUCAACUCAUGUGGCAUUACGUCAGUUCCCAAUGUGGCAUAGAGCAUGGUAGUUCCAAGAAUAAAUUUGGAAAAAAAACUAGAAUAGAGUUAAUUUAUAAAUAAAGAAGUCAUACACCUUUCACUUCUACCCACUAGUGCCUUUUGUGUCCACCGCCAUACUCGAAAGAAGGUAGACAAAUGAAAACUCAACAAAUCCAUCAUCGUUGUUAGCCAAGUGUGCGAGAAGGCCUUCCCACAUUAGAGAGCAGGGAAGGAUCAUGACAACCACACCCUCGUAUGUCAUGAAGCUGCUCGCAACUUUUAAGGCUUGGGAAAUGUGUUGGGCUUGCAACACAUUCCAUGACGGAGUAUCCCCUUGCGGUGGUGGCAUCCCAUUGGGAAGAUCGAAAAAGAUGAAAUCGAUCUUCCCAUAAGGUGUGAGCUGACCCAGACUAUGGAUCCACUGAUCAAGCAUGUAGAGCUCCUGACUAGUAGCAUCUAAAAGCUGCGUGUAAUCCCCAAUAAGAACAACAACUUCCCCAACAUUGGCCAUUGGGGAUAAAGGGCGAACCUGAAAAUCAAUUAUUAGAACUAAAAGUUGGAGAUAAAAUUCAUACUUACUAACUUGUUUAUACAUAGUUGUAGAGGAGAGCUCUUCUAGGUUGUUGUCUAUAGCUGUAGGGAGGGAUGGGAAGAAUGUCUUAAUCCACCGAGAAGACUAAUGGCUACUCUUUGCAACAUCUAUAAAAAAAAAAGUGAAGUCAAGAAUGAAUAAAAGAAUGUUCUAAAUCAAAGUCCUUACUCUUAUGAAAGGCUUCACGACAGCCCCUUUGGGGGUUGCAAGGAGUAGGUAUUGGAAUCUCUUGUGCUGGAAUUUUUUAUACAAUUUCCUCUGGUUCAAUGGUAUUUGGAUUUGGCAUCUUCUGAAUGGUUUCCUGAGUGUGGACUCUUGGGUUUAGUUGUUGAACUUUAACAACGUUGUUAUCACAGUCAGAAAGAGCCUUUGGAAAAUAAGAAUAUAACUCAAGGUUAAUAUUUCCUAGCUAAGUGCUGAGUUUCAAGUGAACCUGGAUGACAUUCAAGGUAGAGAUCUAGCUUAAAGUUUGAUGUCGGCAUCUGCUCAACGAGUUCAAGGUACCACGGGCAUAGCUGCCUCUCAUAUGUACAAGGACAAUAUAACUCUAGCUCAUACAUCCCAAGCUUCUUGCCUCUAGUCAGGAGCUUCUGCAAAACACCAGUUGUGUAUACCGGUGCACUAGGGCAAUAUUUUAAAUAUGUACAAAGUAAAACAAAAAUAUAAAUACCAAUAUAUAAAUGAGAAUUGAGAAAAUACCUGUAAACCAUGCACCUCGCAAGAAAUGGUUGUCUUGGUUGGUUCUUGAACUCAGCCAAACUCGUCCCACCACAUGGAAGCCAACCAUCCCUAGCUCUGCAAGACAAGCACGAAUAUAUUCUUCAAGAGUGAUACUUGUGCAGGUGCUAGAAAGAAAUUUCUCGUCCUAGACUUGUAGCAUCUCCUCACUAACGGCAAUACUCUGAGAAAUGUACACCUUCUCCUUCAUCACCUUCUCCAUCCUUAUCUCGCAGUGUUUUUCGUUGUUUCACAGCCAAGUGUUGAGAAGUUCCAAGCAGACGCUUUGUUCAGCAAAUGACAUUUUACUCUUGGAGAUGUUGUAAAUGAGUUUCUCCAGUGCUUUACCAGUUCCUACACACACAAAAAGUUAUGAAAUGUUUCAUAAAUUUUAGAAGAAUUUACGAAUGCAAGAACAAAUCUCGGCAAUGCUAUCAAGCCAUUCCUACCCGUGUCAUAUGUCUGCAAUUGAGAGCAGCUUUUUCAACUUUGUUCUCUUCAUAUUCAAAAUUCAUUGCUCAAUCGCAUGCCACUCCAUCUCCUUUUGUUGCUCGUCCCCUCGGGCAUUUUUAAAGAAUGAGGCUUUUUCUCCUUUGAUUAUGGGCUGCAAGAAACAUUAAGUAAGUCGAUAUACACUUUAAUACUAAUUUGUGAAAAAACUGUGCACAAACCAACUUUUUUGAGCUUGACUCUCUCUCACUUGUCACAAAAGAAUGAAACUCUCUUGAAGAAAAGAGAACAUGGAGAUGAGAGGGAGAACAAGAAAUCAAUGUUACAACUUUUGUGAUUGAAUGGCGCUUCUCACUCAUAAUCACAUUCAUUUCAACAAUAUUAUUCCUCUCACAAUUAAUUAUACAAUUAAUAUGGGUGGCUCUUUAAGAUUCCCAUAUCUCUCUAGAUUCUAAGCGAUUGUAUAUUUUGUUAAUUAACUUGUCCUUUGCAAGGACAUAACUAAUUAAUGCUCACAAUACAGAAGAAUAUCUUUGUUCUUUUUUGUCAGUUUCUCCCUAAAUUUUUUCUAAGUGCUCGAACAAAGAGAAGAUAUGAGAGAAUUCUAUUUGAAGUUCAAUCAAGAGCCUCCAAUUGUUUUCUCUAAGAGUGUUAUAGGAGAGAGCUUCCUCUGCAGAAGAUUCAAGCUGAAGCCGGGAUUAGUUAAUUUGGAGAAUAUAUGUCGUGAUAAGGUUAAUCAGAUAGAAAAAUUUAUUUUUCUCAACAGUGGUGUGGGAGAAAAUAGGAUUCAGUGGGAUCUUGAUAGAUGUACAGGUUAGGAGAUUCUAGUUAUAGGAUCUCUAAAGCAAGGAGAGGAGAGCGCAUCAGUUUCACAACCAAUUGUGCAAGGAGUGAAGGAUGAAGUUGUUAUUCUCUCCAAUGACGAAAAUGAAAAAGAUGAGCUUCCUGACAUAGCUUCCCAGACAAGUAGGUGUAUUCCUUCUGGACCAAUUUUUAAAGUGGUGGAUAAGGCAUUUCAGCAAUCUCAAUCAUUACGGUUGGAAUUGAAGGAGUUACAGUAUAUGAGAGGUGAGGAGUUUCCUUCUUCCUAUAAUAGGAAUAUAUUCUUCGAGUUUCCACCGGCCAAUUCGUCAAGUAGGAAAAGGAGUAUGGAAACGCAUCUUGAUCCACAUAAUUGGUGCAAAGUAAAGACAACCCACUUCUCUCAUUUCGACGGAUCUGUGUCCAUAGUCCAUUAUGGUGGAUAGCUUUAGUGUGUCGCUGAGAAAUUCAUUUUUGAUCAUGACAAGAAUAUGUGUUUCUUUGAAGGUUUAGUAAUCAAUCCCUCUAGGCAUGAUGAGGUUGCUACAGGGUUUAGAUAUCGCAAAUGUAGGGCAACACCUAUGUGUCAAGCAUGUUGCGAUGUGAAAAUUUUUCCACGGGAUGGAUGUUUAGGCAGAGUAGCAGUGCAUGUUGGAUACCACCAACACGCAAUAAAGGAAGAAAUUCACUAUGAUUCUUUUCGCAAUUUAAAGGCUGUUGUUAUUACAAAGGUUAGGAAGAUAAGUGUUACAACUCCAAAGUGUGUUCAACAGUUUAUACUAAAGGACUAUGUGGUGGACAUGUUGCUACAAUCUGAUAGCAAAAAAGAGUUCACGGAGAAUAUCUUGGAAGACCUACUUCAAAAUAUAGAACCCGUGACAAAUUUAAACAAGUAUAAAAUUAAUACUUAACUCUACUUUAUCACUAAUAACACUCUUUUUUUGGUAAAAUAAAGAACUGGAUGCGAUAAGGGCAAGAUGGAAAGCUUUAAUCUGGAUUGGAUGGGAUUUUGAAGCUAAAGAAAACAUGUCCCUAUGAGUUUAUUCAUGGGAGCUUGUUUAUUAGCCAAGUGACUUCAAACAAUUAACAUCCUUUCGUUUUUAAAAUGUCUACUCUUAGUCUUGCUUCUGGUGUGGACUUUGUACAACAAAUGAAUAUGAAUGGAGAUGGGGACUUGGCUAAUUCCUAGAUCCAUUUAAACUAUAUGGAACGAGUUUCAGGCUGGUCAACUAUAGGAGCUCAUGUUUAUGAUCACAAGUAAGUGGCUAUUCAUUUUUUAAGGAUUCCAUAUUGAUUUACAUUAUAACCAUUCCUUCUAUAGGUUGCAGUGUAACUUGACUAUAGCUAUAGCCAAAUUCAAGGUUCAAGAUUUUCAAGCACUAACCAUCUUUUGGACAUGUAUAUCCGAAGUUGUUAAAUAGUGAACCAAGAAGAAACCCAACUUUCAUGGUUUCAUGGUAGAUGCUGCUGGUGUUAACUGGUUAGCUGUACGACAAAUAUUUAGAGGUGAUAAAAGUUAGCUGUUACAAGGUAGAGAGAAGAGUUUUGAGUUUCAUUAGGCAAAAAGUGUCAAUAAACAUUGUCGAUGCAUCAAAUUUGACUUCCAUCACGAGUUUAAGCAGCUUUGCCGAGAAUGGAUGGAUGCACCAACUAAAGAGGAGUAUGAGGCAAAGGCAAAUGAGAUGUGUAUAUGGUGGCGUGAAGGAGACAAAGUGCCAAUUGAAAACCUUCUAUAAAUGGAAUGCUAGCUUGCAUGGUGGGAAGUUUGAAUGUUUUAGUGGGGUCAUUAUACUCUCUAUUUAAGUUUUCUCUCAUUUUCUUUCUUUUCACAUUCAAAUGUUGCAUUUUUCCUAGGAUCAACCACUUGAUGAUAUAGCACUUACACCAAUAAUUAAUCUCUCUGAGAGCAAACAUUGGAGUUGGAGAGCUUUUGAAGCAGGGAAAGGAAAAGUGUCCCUCUAUGAAGCUACACUCUCCAACCUCACUAGAUCUCUUGAGCAGUCAUCAAAAGCUUUGGUUCCACAGGAAGCAAGGUUUACUGGUAUAGGUCUGAACUUAGACAAGCUUCGAGAGCAGGUUGGUAGAAGGACAACACUAGCAGCAUGGUCAAUGUUUAAGAUGGUGGAAGAAGUUGUUGCUAGAACUCCUAUGAAAUCAAGUUAUGAACCACUCGAGGACAUGAGAAUAGCCUGUACGAAGCAUCGACAGACAUUUGAUGGGCCAAACAUCACUCCUUUUAGCUCUCACCAUCCAGAGUUUGACUACCAUUUUGUUCCAUAACACAGAAAAAGAAUUAAGGAAUAUGGAGUGGAGGAGGUGCCAAUUGUUACACAAGUAAGUCCAGUGCCAAAGGUUGAAAAGGUUAUUUCUCAUGAGCUAGUUUCUCGUAUCAAUUGGGCAAUUUGAAGAGUUAGUGCCAAGAGCAAUGCACAUUGCUCUGGAAUGAUUGGGAGUUGAGGUCAAUGUCUUGCAUUUGUGCGCUCAGGUUCAAGUUCUUUAGCAGUGCCAUGUUUUUAAGGCUAUCAAGAUCUAGGAGUGAAGGGCCACCAGUCAAGCUCUAUUUACUGUUAUGGGACUGAUGUUACUCAUAUAAGUUGGAUUCACAACUCAAUUAUUUUGAAGCUAGAUUCUGUGCCAGAGGAGUGGCCAAUUGAGCGAAGCUAUAAUCUUUUGAAAGAAGAGAUUGAAAGUUUGGAGAGAGUAGGUUUCAAGCUAAAGACUUCCUUAAAUGUUGCUAUUAGUACUGCUAUGCCACCAAUAUCAACACUAGACCGGCAUACACGACCAGCUAGGAAUGGGAAGGCUAUACAAUAUAGGUCUUCCAUUUCAAAAGGUGCACAAGAGAAGAUCAAGCUAGCAAAAGAGUUGAAGUGCAUAAUCACAAAGGCAAACUACAUCAAUGUGUAAGGAACCAACUCACCGAGGUGUCGUAGGCUAAAGGAGCCCCGAAAGCAUGACCAAAAUGAUAAAGAGUUCAUCGGAUGGGACCAAGUCUAAGAUCGAGUCCAAGACCGACUCUAAGACCAAGUUUGAGAUAGAGUCCGGAAUCGAGUCCGAGACCGACUCGGAGACCGAGUUCAAGACCAAGUUCGAGACCGAGUUCGAGACCGAGUCCGAGAUCCGGAAUCGGGUCUGAGACCGAGUCCGAGGUUGAGUCCGAGGUUGGGUCUGAGAUCAGGUCCGAGAUCGAGUUCGAGAUCGAGUCCGAGUCCGAAUCCGAAGUCGGAUCCGAGAUCGAGUCCGAGAUCGAGCCAGAGACUAAGUCCGAGUACUAAUAUGGGUCAAGGGGUGAAAGCCCAAAGCGUGCAUCUCCCGGGGGGGGGGGGUUGCAGGGGGUUCCAAAAGUAUAGUAGGGAUAGUGAGGUCCAGGAACUAGUCUUGAAGGAACUCUCCAGUGGUGCUUCCAAGUUGACUUGAGGUUGAGACUGGGGCCGAGGGGCCUUGGGUGGGAGUGAGCAUGGGCUUGGGUGGUGCUGGAGGGGCCACCCAGGGAAGUGUUCAAGAGCAGCUCCCACUCCCGAAAGGGAAACCGACUGCGGUGCUCCCAGCUCAUGUGGAGUGGUGCCCCACUUGAGUACCUUGCGGCUCAUUGGUCCUCGCCCUUCCUAGGGGCUUGGGCCUUCCCUUUGGGAUGGAAGUGGGGGGGUAAAGGUACCCAUACCGGGCCGUUAGGCCACGGUGUUUCGCCCCAACGUCCCGAAGCAAGUGCUGCACCCAAGGCUUGGGAUUUAGAGGGUCCCAUGAUCAAGUCUUGUUGUACCAAGGGGUGUUAAGAACCUGGAGGCUUGGUGUGCUUGGCUGCUUGUGCCUGCGGGGAGUGUAGCCGAACCUUAAGUCCAGUCUAACCCGGAGAGGGGGAUUGGGAGAGAUUUGGGAAUCCGUAGAUGAAUGGCUAACACUCCGUUGCUCGUGCAGUGAGUAGCUGAAACCAAGUAGAACCAAGUAGAAGCUGGUACAAUAGGCGAGAACCUUGGCAAGGGAACUUAGCACAAGCCAAGGCAGUGUUGGUCGGAUAGACAAGGUAAGCUGGCAAAUUGGAAAGGAAAAAUUUGUGGCUUACACAAUACUAUGGCUAAGGAGUUUGUUGUUGUGACUAAGUUGUCAAAGGGUACAAAAUACACUACCAAAAUUUGCGAAAAUCCAUCCUAUACCUAUCCAGAUUUUACAUAGCGAGAGAACAGGGGAAAAGUAUAUUUAGCUUGCAAGCACAUUUAUUACAUUUUUAUGCAGGAACUAAACUAAAAUCCUAAGAUCGACCAUCACAUCCACCAAGCAAGCCUUAUAGUUGCGGAGCUUGAGAAGUGUUUUUAGAUUGCUUUUAGUGUUUGGAUCUAUUUAUUGGUCAAAUUUACUUGGAAAUAUAGAUUAAAUCAAAAUUUGAAAAAUGAAAAGAUGUUGGUUCAGGAUGAACCAAUGUUUUUCUUAUGUUUGAGAAGCCGUGAGCUCAGCUCAUAAACUCAUAAGCUCAAAAUCUACUCGGGCUCAUGGCAUUGAAGUAAUACCUUGCCGUUGACAUUAUUUAUAUUGAGAUUCAAGUGAAAUGAAAUGUCUUCCCAUAUGAUUGAUAUUGAGUUUCAUUAGUCUCGAUGAAAAUAGUGUUGAUGAUUUAGUUGUAAUUUUAUGUUAUUAGCAUUUGUACAAUUGUUAGUUAACAACUGUAUUGAUAUUCAAACGAAUUGAGUAGCAAGUUUGAGUUAGUUGUGUUUUAGACGAGAUUGUUUAAUAGGGGUUGAGUUUUGAGCUUUUCCUUGAAAAUUGAUUUAGUUGUAGACUAUAUUAACUUUAUAGGAAGGAGAGUUAGUAAUUAAUACUAGAAUGUUUGAAUCCUUGUUGAAUUUAAAUUGGGAUAUAUCGAUCAUUGAUGAUUCUUUUUGUGCUUGUUAUGAAGUGAGUUAUGUCUUGUUAUAAAUGGAUUCAUGGAAGAUCGGUUUAGUGAUCACUUAUUGAACAUAGCUCCAUUGUGCUUAGCUUUUGAAUUAAUAUAGAUGUGCUCUUUAUUAGCUUUGCAUUAUAAAAUUUAGCUUAUGGAUGUGUUGAGGAGGAUAUUAUGGAUUGUGUUAUGAUUUCUUCUUUAGCAUUGAAAUUAGUUUAUGCAAAACUUGUGAUCAUUAUUAAGCAAGAUUUAACUAUAAACUUCUUUGAGCUUUUGGUUUCUUGAGUUUUCAUGCUCAUUGUUCCAUUUGUUAGAAGUUGUUGGGGAAGGCACUUUGGCUUGUUAGCUUUGAUAUUGAAAUUAAUAUUUACAUCUGACAAUCAUUAGUGAUAAUUAACUAUCAUCUAGGAUAGUUAAUUAUCCUUGUCAAAAUUUUUACUUGAUUAUUGUUGAUCUAGAAUAAUUUGUUGUUCUUCAAAAUGGUAGAUUCUUUCUUCUAUGGUGAUUAUGCAUCUCUUUAUUGAUUGGAUGAUUGAUAGUCUUUCAUAAUAGUUAGUAGUUUUAUUUGAUAGUUUAUGGCUUUUUGCAUUACCACAUGUUUUUUGUGGUUUGCUUUGGAUUGAUCUCUUGGGUUUAAGACAUUAAUAAGAUGUUACUGACACUUGCUUAAACAACUUGAGUUCUUUUGUAUUGUUAAAGGAGAUUUAUUUAGAUUGGCUUCUGUAAUAAUUAGCAUGAAUGGGUGUUUAUUGGUUUUAUUGCAUUCAUUCUAUUCUGUUGAUUAUUGCUUGAGUUAGUUCUGAUAGGUUGGGAUGUUAUUUCUUUUGGGUGAUACAUUCGUAAGCAUUAUGCUUAUCAAUUAAUGAUACUUUGUGUUCUUUGAGUUAUCUUUAGUAAGUUGUUUGGCAUACUAUCUGCCAUCUUCAAUAGUUAAGUUUCAUCAUUGAGUUUCCAUAAUGAUAUACUUGCUAUUGAAUUUUGUUAGAUGGUGAUUUCUAUGUUUACCAAUUAUGAUGAUCUUGUUGGUUCUUAUACUCUACUACUAGUUUAUCGGAUGAUAACUUACUUGGAAUACUUUUAUGUUCUAAUCUAAGAUUUAUUCACUAACAAUUAAGUCUCUAAGCUAUCAUUGUUUAUGACUUUGAUAUUGUCCAUCUAUUAAUAUUUAAGUUUGGGCCAGUAUAGGCAGACUGUUUUCGGCACUUCGUAUGCAUGGUGAAAUCUUUAGUCAUGGGGUAACUAUUGUCAACUGGUCACAUAACCCGCCUUUCUGUCAAUAUUCUUUAUUCCAUUGAAAGGGUGUGAUAGUGUAAACAAUUCUAACUAUCUGUUUACAGUAGUCUAUUUAAACCUUACCGACAAGUUUGGUUUCUUUGCUCAUAAGGGUUAAGGCCUUUAGCUUCUCUCUCUGUGUCUCUGCGGGUAGGGGCAUAUCACACUUUUGUAAGCUGGGUAACACCUAGAGUAGUAAGGGUGGCUGACUUCGUUGGUCAUUUCCUUGUCGGUGACGACCAGAAGGUGUCUGAGUUGGUAGCACAUCUGCGUUAGACAAAGAGGUUACCCUAACUCAUUUAAGUUGAUGUAUUUCUCACAUAGUGUGAUCACUAUGAACUUUUUCUUGAGUUGUUUCCUUGCCGGUGGUCUAAACUCAAGUAUGCAUCGACGAGAACGUUAAUCUUCCCUAAGGAGGGGAGAAUGUCGCAAAUGUAACUUCGGGUAUCAAAAGUUACCUAUCGGUUAGUCCUUUCGGAUAUUUUUUCUUUACUGCCACGACGGUAAGAGGUUGAUAUUGCUAGACCCGUUAUUAGUCUUCGUUUAAGUUAGUUGAGAAACUAGUCUUUGUAUGUGCACUUGACCAGAUGAACUUAAGGACGGAAUUUCUAAGUGCUAUUAAUCAAGCAUACUUGACCUGGCUAAAGAAACUCAUUCGUUGACUUGCAUUUGCUAGUGUUGGGAACCCCCGUGAUAUUGAGCUUGGUCCCUUAAUAUCACUAAAUGAUAGUUUACCGUGUCUACCAAAUACCCUCGCUAUCAUGCCCUUUGUGUUAGUCUCAUUUUAGUCCCAAAUACUAUUUAUGGAAAGUGUUUAGAUUGGCUCAUUUGGCAUAUCUAUAAAAUGUAAAGAUUGUCCUGAACACAAUGGUGUUUGUCCCAUGUCCAAAUUCACAAUUUAAGGACAUUUCAUAUUUAGUAAGUUUCGAGCUUGUCCCAGGGACGAACUCCUAAUACUUAGGGAGGGUUGGGGUGAAAGCCCAAAGCGUGUGUUCCUCAAGGAAGGGGAACGGGGGGGGCGGGGCUCCGUUUUGCAUGCUAGUCUUAGCAUUAGGAUGUUAGAUACUCUAUGACUGUUCCAAGUCACUCUAUGCUCUGUCCCUUCACUUCUUGGGCUGUAUGCUCAGAAGUUGCUCUAUGAUCUAGUUCCAUCACUCCUUGGCUCCAUGCUUGGGAUUUUGGCACCAUUCCUAGGUUCAGUGGCCCAAGGCCCUGAAACUCGGGUUCCAUACCACUGUCUUUUAACCAAGUGACAUAUGACAUGUGAUAUGUGGCAUAUAAAGGGUUUAAGUUCUACUUCAUAGUGUUAUCUUAUAGUAAAUCACCAUAGGAUAAAGGGUAAAACCCACGUGUGCUACAAGAGGGGUUACUAACUUAUUCAUGCAAGGACCCUCCACUACUCAUGUAACUCUUUGUUUCUUAAAAGAAUCUCUAUAUCAAGAUCUUCUACUAUAACAAUACCAAUAGGACAACAUUGAUGUCAAGACUUCCAUCUGAGAAAUGGAAGAUGUUAAACGCUAAUAAUGCCAAUACAUGUAGUUAACCUUAUCACACACUUAAUAGUAGACAUCACGACCAUGACCACAUCCUCACCCUUAUCUUUGAACACAAGUAGCAAUAGCAUCAACUUCUAUUAGAAUAGGACUAUCUUGCAUAAGAAGUAGAGUUGAAGGAUCUAUAGUAAAAAGUGCAAGAGGUAAUGUCUCAUAACAUUAUAUUAGUCAAAGAGUAAUAUCAAGGGUGGCUAGAGCAAAUAUAUACACAUGCCCCACAAGAUCUUGACAAAGUGGUAGUUAUAACAUUCCCAACUUGAUCUACUCUAAUGCUUUGCAAGAAGCUUUGGAAGCGAAUGCCAAAUUGCAUCGAUGAUUUAUAUGGCUUUUGAUGAAGCUAAUGUGAUUAUUAUAAGGCAUCAUCACAAUUGUUAACAUAUCCAAAUGCGCAUUUGAGGACAUUUGGGAGAAUGUUUCAAUCCACAUGAGUAGUUAAGCUCUAUUUCGUUAAAGUGGGAUUUAUUCAGUAAAAUGGGACUAGGUACAAAUUUUCAAGUAUUUGAAAAUGACGUGAAAUUAUAUGUUUUUUGUCCAGGGGCUAGACAUAUCUGGGGCAUGGUGACUAGCGCGGUGACCUUAUGUCCAGACUGAGUCCAUCUAGUUGUAUAAUAAAUCUCAUUGUCAAGGUGAACAAGCCGAAUCUGAAGCUAAAGAAGAGCGAUGGCAUGCGCGCACACACUAUUUGUUUGUUCAUUGAGCGUGUGGUGAGCUUUCCAAGAUGAACAUCAUUCCUAUUAGCCAGACAUAUAACUUAAUGGUGAGAACAUUUAGAUAUUAUUCAAUGUUAUCUUUUUCUAACGAAUCUAAUUGUGAAGGUGUAGCAAGAGGCAUUGCUAGUCUGGAGAAGUCAUUUAACUCAUUUGACCCUUAGUGUAUUUUCAUGAAACUAAAUAACAUUCAUAUUAUUAAGGAAUUUCUCUAGUACCUUUUUUUUACGACAUAGAGGCUUGCAUUUCUUUCAAAGGUGAUUUAGUAAAAGGCCUGAGGGCACAUGCCAUUCUAUUUCUCAGACCGGUAUUAAGAUAUACUAGUGCAAAGGGAAAAAGGUAUUUGGUGAUCAAGUAAAUGGCAUGAGGGCACACGCCAUUAUAAGCCUAAGCGCUAGUGGACACCUCCUUUUUGGUACUCUCAGCGGUACUAUCAUCCUUCUCCGGGUCAGUUGUUUUGCUUUGGAUUGUUGUCUCUGACGUUACUGGGGCGUUCUCGAUAGUUGUUAAUGUUGCCGUUUGUUCAGAAAAAUGAUCACCUGGAGUAUAGUACGGGGAGUUUGGAAGACUUAUAUAUUCUACAUCUUCACCUAUCUCCUUCUCCGUCUCCUUUUCUGCCUCACUUACAGAUUUUGUGCUUGCCAUGAGAACGCUCUUCACCCUAAAAUAUGGAGUUCGUUGUGUUAUAAAAGGAAACCAACACACACGCUGCAAGGGAAUGAUGGUACAUAAAGCACGUAAGCCCACAAUAUGGGUUUAUGUGCCAUUAAUAUGGGCCACACGCCAUAUUAUUAGAUUUAUGCACGUGUGAUUGGUAAAUGCAUAUGUCACAUCAUCUUUGUUUUACCUCACACACUAUAUCAAGCCUCCUCUGAUUCAGAUUCGGAUUGUUCACCUUGAAAUAAAAUACAUUAGAAACUUUGUAAAGGAAUAUUAAUGAAUCUCACCUUGAACCCGAGUUAUGAAUGCUCUUGCUGCAUCUCUUGCAUGGUCUGGCAAGGUGAUGGUGGCACUCUGCUUCCGCAUCCAACCAUGCACAACAUUAUCCACCGAUAUGCUCAUGCUGGGAUCCCUUGGAUUCAGCACCCAUCUCUUUUCUAGGCAAUCCUUCGUAUAUCCGGAACUUGGCUUGAACCACUCCACAGUUACAUUGAAGGAGUUAGUUUCCGCGUCCUCCUCUGCAUCAGUGAUGCAGCACCCCACCCAUAUCAUUUGUUUUUUAUUACUGGGUCUGACAAGCACGACCAUUCCUUUGCAGACCUGUACUGGAUUGAAUGCUGAAUCCGGCUUCUUGUUCCUCGGCCCACAAUAGUGAUCCUCAACAUCGUUAUCUGUCACUGCAUUUCCAGAGGACAUUGUUCCGCUACUAUCUGGUGCUCUGGGUUCUGGCCAAAAGGACUCUUCCAAUUCUUCAUAUACAACCGGCCCAUUUUGGAUAGCAGAUAUAAUCUUCUCCCAGUAUUCGAGCAAAGGCUUGCACCUCUGAAAAUAGGAUUCUCCACCAAACACCAACCCCCUCUUCCAGAAGGCAAUAUGCUGUCUAAUCCCGGCCACUAUACUUUCCUGGUCUUUGAGUCCAUCCGGGUGCAUCGGCCGUGGGGAACCCUGAGGAAUCAUAGGUUCCCCAGUUAUGGGAUCUCUCUUGAAGAGUUCAAUGCCGUCCACUGGCAGCCACACUGUGUCCCAUUCUCUCAUCUUGUACCUCAUCACUGGAGCACCGUCACACAUGCUGAAAUGAAACUGAAGAGGCUUGGAGUGGCCAAUCAACGUUUCGGAUCCAUCCCUGAUGUAACCUCUUACAAACCCCUUAAAGUCUGGAACCUCUGUCAGAAGUGCAGCUUCAACAGUGCCUUUGAUGCAAUUUUGGAAUUCAUCGUAGAGUUGUGGGAGGGUGAGGACAUUGGAUCGCCGGAGGGACUCUGCCAAGUGACUGAACAUGGCAUCGACGUCUUCAUGAGUGUGCCCAACCAUGAGAAAGCCAAGUGUAACCGUUUCAAAUAUGCCUUUGGCAACAAGCAUCGCCAAGUACGUGAAGACGUACAUGUUUUUGUUCUCACUGCCAGCAUUGUCUGUUUGGAGCAGAAGAUGGGGUGGAAGGCCACAUCGGCUGCAAGAACUUCCUUGAGAUUCUGCUUCGUUUGGAUGAGGCUGUGCAUUCACCGGGCGACCAGCCUCGUCGGAAUGGCAUGAGGCCUCACGUGAUAACCCUACAAUCUGACGGCCAACAUAUUCACUGGGAUGGCAUGGGGCCCCACGCGAUACUGCAAGCCUUUGCUCCUCCUCCAGCUGAACCCUGUAUGGGGUUCGAUCGACAAGGGCCUUAUGCAAGGGUUGGCCGUUCAGCUCAGUCUGCGCACUUUGCAGAGACCUUAAGUGUUUUGCUAGGGACGCAAUCAUCAUGUUUGCACCCCCGCCACCCCAUAGAGGUACAAAGAAGUUCCCAUAGUUCUGGGCACCAUGCCCAUGAGCGAUUAUGCCAAACAGAGACACAGGCAGCUGCAUGGAUGAAGAGAUUGCCUUGGGGGCAGGAUUGAGUCGAGGUAAGCACGUCUUUUUCUGGUCCAUUUUGUCGUGGAUGAUGCAGAGGUAAGAGUCAGGUCUCUCCAUGGAGAGAAUCCUAUUAUGAUAAUAUGCAGUCCUGCAGCUUCUCUGCUCGAUGUUGUGGUCGAGCCGCCUUCUAACCAACGUCUCUCGCUCUUGAGCGCUGCAAGAAUUCUUCGACAAAGCCAUUUUGAUAGCAGUGCACUCGUCACACUUUGAAAAGCUGCAGUACUUUCCUAUACUCACAUCCCUGAACCUGUUGCUCCACAAUCUACUAAAUCUAGAUUGGCUCAGCUUCCUGUAGCCAUUACUCUGGAGUUCCCGAUUCACAUCUUCCAAUAUGGCCCCCUUGGUAUACAUGGAAGGGAGAACUCGUUGGGUGUCUCGUGUUCCAUCUUCCAAGAGGCGGGUUUUAUGUGGUUGCUGCUCGCUACAUGUCUCGACAAACCUCUUGAAGAUUGCCUCUCCAUAUACAACAUGACCCCUGGUUUUGUGCGUACCGUCGUUCCCAUGGACUGCCUGUUGAACCCUUUGUUCCUCGAACUCAGUUUUGAUUCUGUAGAAUGUGGUUCGAGGGACUCCAUAAAUGAUUCUCCAUGCCUUCAUGCAGACCAAACCCCUCUGGAAGACCAUGCCCCCCACCUGAUGUUCUGAAGCAUCAACAGAUGACCGUAAUGCCUCAUACACAAAAUUGCGAGCUGCCUUCCAGGACAAUGUCUUAUAUCUUGCUCUCUCCUCUUCAAUAGCAUCCCAAUCAGCAUGUUGACAGCACCUCCUCUUGCAACAAGCAACUGUCGAGACCAUUCGAACCUCCAUCGCCAUUUUCUGCCUUUUCGGUUCGUUGCUCAGAUCCCUUUGGCUGCGCUUUAGGAAGGUGUACUUUCUUUUCCCAUGAAGAGAUGUUCUGUCAUCAGUUGUAGCGGUGUUUGAUUGUGAAUCCUUCACAUUCUCAAACACUAAGUGCCUCAAUUUCCACCGCACAAUGCUUCCAAUAGUCAGACUGUUUUCUUCUGUGUCAACAACCUCUAAAAUCGCAACUCCAAUAUCAUCCCAGCCCAAUUCUUGAUUAGCAACCGCAUCUCUUGGAUCGACAACUGUGGCUAAGCCCUCAGCUACCACCUCCCCCUCGGGGUUGUUUAGAAACACUUUUGCCUGAAUCCAUGUAGCACGGUUCUUAAGAUCCACGGAGGGAACAUGCGUUGCACUUGCGCUGUCCCCAACAUCUGCUUUCUUCUGAAGAUUUUUCAAGGCAACAACAACAUUUACCCCGACGACCAUCUCUCCUCGUUCAAUAGCGACCACAUUCCCAUCGAAGACAGUCUCUACUGAUACAGCAGCAUUGCCUUCCCCAAGCCUUUCACAGUGUAUAACAAAGUUCCGAUCCAUAGACACAAGGGUCCCUUUUGCAACUCUCUUCCCACCAUUCAAAAUGUAAACCUUUUCCCCAACCCUGAAGGCCAUUCUGAAAGUGCAGAAAAGAAGUUAAGACCAUACAAAAAAUGAUUGGAGAAUGGCCUAAAUCAUAACAUACCAAACAACCUCAAUAGCAUGAGGCCACAUGCCAUUAUUCAAACAUGCUAUUGACACCCACGUGAAAUUUCGCAUUCACAAAAUUGGCAUGAGGCCUCAUGCCAUCUUGAUAUACACACAGCUGCAGGCAAGUAAAAACAUACAUGACAAUACGCUAGCCAUGAAAUUGCAAGGGCCCAAGAUGGCAUGUGGCCUCAUGCCAUUUCGAAAUGUGGUCCUAAGCCAUUCCAUGGUGAACAUACCAGGAAGCACAAGUGCCGAAUAUCAAGAGGAAGCAGUAGCCACACCAAAGACAGUGCCGCUCGCAACACCGCAACUACUCGUAGCGCCGCUCGCAACACCGCAACUGCUCGUAGCGCCGCUCGCACAAACUGCCACUCGCAUAAACUGCCGCUCGCAAUGGCGCUCGCAAUGCCGCAACCGCUCGUAGACGCAUAAACCACAGCCCACAACGCCGCUUACACAAGCAGCGCUCAUUGCGCUUAGCGGAACCAAGAACACGGCGCACAAAAAUGAUAGACCUAGGAAUGAGUUCGAGAAUUCAAAAAUAACACACGCUUGAACGUCACAUCAAAUCCUCUGACAAACCAGAUCUUAUGAUUCCUCUGACAAAUUUCAAACUGAGUAGCUUCUAGACUUUGCUGUCGGAGGUUGAACUUUGUCACAUCAUGUCCUUGCCUCGAUCCAGCUGUGCCAUGUCAGUGAUUCGAACUUUGCCAUGCCAUGUCAGCGAUCCGCGCCAAGAUUAUUCGCCGUGUAAAGGAAUAAUUAUGUUGUGUGUGUACGUCCAUUUAUGGCAAUAUAAGGCCACACGCCAUUCAAAGAAUAAUGCUAGUCGAGCAUUUUUUGGUGCAUUUUUGGGUUCAAAAUUGCAUGAGCCCACACGCUAUAAAGUUUACCUGUACCAAAAAUAGAAACAGCUUUAUUUACUUGGGAAUUUAAGUGGUUGAGGCAUUUUUAAACUUACAAACACAUGCCCUACUUACAUUCCUUUGGUUGCCUAAAAUUCAAAAAUAUUAUAAACCUUUCUUUUUGCAUUUUCAAUGUUUUCAAUUAUGGUUUUUGAUUUUCGUAGGACCAGCCUAGUAAUCUAUUUGCAUCCCGUCAUGUUUAUAGCUAGCUUUCGUUCGUCCCCUUCGCUAGCCUGAGAUACAUCUGCUCGGCAUCUGCCUCUUACAGCAUUUGCCCAGAAAGGGCAUCUUUCUUCACGCAGCAUUUGCCACAUGUUUAGGGUUUAGGGUUUAGGGUUUAGGGUUUAGCAAUUCAGUAGCUUGAUAAACAUGCAAAUACAGAACUUGAUGCAAAAUCCUUUGAUAUGUCACAAUGCCCCUAGGACCAUAAACACAUUUCAAUAGAGAGGGUCCUUUCAUUUCAUAACUCCUUACAUAGAUCUUGGUGAAACCAGAGUUAGUGAAGUUAGUUUCUUGUGAUCCCACAUCUGAUUGUGAUGUCCCUUUGCAGUUUCGAUGGAAAGGUCAAUGCACACCAAACUGUAAAAUCUUGGAGCAAAAUAACGGUCGGAUCUAUGGCAAAUGCCCCUGAAACAUUGUAAGGCUCGUGUGGUCUCAUGUGGUGUCCGAUCGAGAUGCUUCUUUGCAGGGUCAUCAAGAAAGACAUUGUAUACCAUUCUGUAAAAUCUAGUUGCGAUCUAACGGUUGGAUCUCCAGAAAACUCAAAAAAAUCUCACGCGUGUCAGAAUAUCCUAGGAAUAUACUCCUAUGUGCCCCUGAAAAUGGCAUGCGGCCCCACGCCAUUCAAGAGAUAAUGCCAGAUGACGCCGAGAAUUUUUUGGUGCAUUUUUUGGGUUCAAAAUUGCAUGAGCCCACACGCUAUAAAGUUUAUCUUUGCCAAAUAGAGAAAAGUUUAUCUGUGUCAUGUGAGGUAGUUACAGUCCUUUGUGCUCGGCAUCUGCCUCUUGCAGCAUUUGCACUGAAAGGGAAUUUUUCUCCAUUCAGCAUUUGGCCCUGAAAAUGGCAUGCGCCCACACGCCAUUCAAGGAAUAACGCCACAGGACGCCUGGAUUUUUGGGUUUAAAAUGUUUAGGGUUUUUUGGGUUUUUUCAAAAUAUUUUGGGUCCAACAUUUUUUGGGUUUCUUUGGUUCAAAAUUGCAUGAGCCCACACGCUAUAAUAUUGAUUUGAGAGAAAAAUAGAAACAGAUAGAAUUUCUUUAUUUAGCUGAACAUCUGCCAUUUUUGGAAAUACAAGAUGCUUUGGAAUAUCCAAUCAUGCAUGGUAUAAAUAUAGCGAGGGUAUUAAAUGAUAUCCCAAUCAUGAUCUUUCUUUUGGAUUUCGCGUGCAUGCAGUCCGAGGAAUGAUGACGUUGCGGAUUUCUUUUGGAUUUUGCGUGCUUGCAUGCGCGCGGCAAUCCAGAAAUUAAUGGUGGCGCCCAAGUCCGAGGAAUGAUGACGUGGCGGGAUUACCAACCGUUGUGACAUUUCGCGCGUGUGAGGUUAGGUUUUGCAUUUUGCUUUGUACUCGCGCUCGCACACUCGCGCUCGCGCUCACAUCACACUCGCGCUCCCGCUCGCAUCGCGCUCCCACUCGCGAUCACGCUCACUUCUCUACAGGUUUCUCGUGUGCAUCGGUGUCCACUCGCGCUUGCAUCACACUCGCGCUCGCAUCGCGCUCGUGUGCAUCGGCAUCCACUUCAAGACACACCCAGUUUGUAACUUCGCCGCCAACUCCGCCGCCCACUCCACCACCCACACGCAGCCCACUUGGCGUCCCGGGAGAUUUCAGCACCACUCUCCAACUGUAAGUGGCAGAGUAGCCUUGCUGCUACGAUCCGCUGCACACACAGUGCACAUUCGCCAGCGAGUCCGGCCUCGAUUGUCACGGCCUCCAUUCGGCUUCAAAUGGUAAGUCUUUUAGACCAAGUAGAAAAUAGCAUGAGGCCACAUGCCAUUCAGUAGCAACAUUGGCAUGCACCGAUUGGGCUCUCGAGUGCAGUCCGGUUACAGAUGGCGUGUAGCCUCACGCCAUCUUAGGAUGCAGCCUCAAGACAUCUGAUGCAGUGGUGAAUGGCGUGUGGCCUCACGUUAUUUCCAGCUGCUAGCUUUUCAUCUGUCAGCUCUAAUUGUUGUGCAUUUUUAAACAGGCGAGGAAUUGCGUUCUUCUUCCAGCCACUGUCAAUGUGGAUGCAGAGAAGGGGGAGGAGCUCACCAGUUGGACUUUCGGGAUGGAAGGCGAGGAUCUGAUGCUGUACAACACAGAUGGUGGGAGAAAAGAAUGCAUGGGGAUCCUCAUCCAAGUGACAGACACUCCAUGCAGUUCCAUGCAAGAAUAUGGACUGGCACUUGUGGUAGAGACAGCGUCCGCCUUCAAGAUCCACCUUGCACAUCCUAGCGGCUUCCCGGAGGGGGGCAGCGGCUAUGAGGAAUUCCUAGAGGGAGCUAGGGAGAGGUUGUCCAGGAGGCCCACAAUUUCAAAGACGCUGCGGGUCUAUGAAGAUCACAUGGAAUCCACGGACCUCACCUACGGCGAUGUUCAAAAACUAUAUUCCAACAUUGAGCCGUUGAGAGUGCCUCCAGUUUGCGAAGCGAAGGGGAAGGGGGUCGAUCUGGAAACUACCCCGAAGCAGAAAAGGGUGGUCAAGCUCAAGCCGACGUCCGACUCUGCUGCUCCAAAAAAGAAGCUACUCGGUGAUGCCAUUGCCUCGGGUUCGAACACUACACCCACCAAAAAGAAGAGCCGCAAAGAGCAGAAAGAGCAAGAAGAGGCAGCAAAAAUCGUCGCAGAUAAUAGUACUUGUUACUAUUCCAACAAAGUAUAUACAAUCAACGUGAGCCGUAUCGAGAUCCAAAGCAAAUACAACCACAGGCUAGUAUCUGAUGAGUGGGUGGAGAAACUGAAGCAGAAGAUGCUGGCAAGUCCAGUAACACCCGACAUCGCAGACGUGAUCCCCUACUACCGAACAAUGAAGGGCGAGACGAGGUUUCCAGACUUGAUCAAUAGGAAGGUGUUGGACGAUCAGAACAUCCGGUUCUAUGCCGUCUCCGGGCAGCAUUCUAGCUUGGCGAUGCAACAGAUAGUUGUGGAUAUUAUGGUGGGCGAGGAGGUGAAGAAAGUCUUCAAGACAAGAGUUGUCCGCCUGAUAAAAGGCAACUCGCCCCUCCGAUCUAUCAUAUACAUCUCCCACGCGCAGAAUGUCAAGCAAGAAACGUGCUACAAAUCGGGUCUGCACGAGACAUUGGCACGAACACGGAAGCUCUGGGUUCAACUGAAGAAGCCACAAAAACCAGGACAAGGACGUGCACUAGCAACUAGCGCCUGGCAGGUAAGCCUCGUUGCAUGUGGCAUAGCAUGUGGCCUCACGCCAUUUCCAUUGCAGGAAUUCUCGAGUCUUCUCUCGAAAACACUGGGGGUCAAUGACACACUCAGCAUCCAUAACAUUCUACUCGCGACAAAAGUUGUUUUUGACAAAUGGGUAGAUGUGCUAAGGAGGUACCAUGACGGGGAAGUGCUAAAACUCAAUGGGUGUGGAGNNNNNNNNNNNNNNNNNNNNNNNNNNNNNNNNNNNNNNNNNNNNNNNNNNNNNNNNNNNNNNNNNNNNNNNNNNNNNNNNNNNNNNNNNNNNNNNNNNNNNNNNNNNNNNNNNNNNNNNNNNNNNNNNNNNNNNNNNNNNNNNNNNNNNNNNNNNNNNNNNNNNNNNNNNNNNNNNNNNNNNNNNNNNNNNNNNNNNNNGGAUCUUCGAGCAAGUGGCCGUGGCGAGGGUGAGCAUCGACACCACGCAAGAGAUGAUGGAAGAGCUGGACUUGUCAAAUGAAGAUAUCGACGAGUACGUGAAGGGGGCCCCCAAGUUCAUCGAUCUGCUGCGGGAUGCCACGAAAAGUAAAGCUGAGAAGUUGGAUCAGUAUCCAAAUUUCAUUAAGAGGGAUGUCGACCGCCGGCUUCAGAAACAGCUCGACCCCGCAGCAGAGGCCUAUCGAGAACCUUACCGGGUAUACGUGAAUUCAGAUGAGGAUCAAAGGUGGAGGAGCAUCGUUUCCCGCGGAGAUGAGCAGGUCAAGAACAUCUUUUGUGUGAUGGACUUCACAAACGAGGAGAUCACUCAUGCAGACGAAGUCAGCUCCAUCAUUGACUUAAUGGUGGGACUUGCGGAGGUGGAAUCUUCAGUCCACUAUAUGAUCUACGACUCCGAAUCCUAUCACAAGUUCUAGAAGGCCUUGAACGAGGUGAAGGCUCGGUUGAAAGGCAAGGAGGUGCGGGAGAUCCAUGGGAUAAUGGCUAAGAAGAAGAUACCGACGAAUGUCCGCAUCUUCACAGUCGCCCUUGUUAUUGGUCCUGCAGCAGAGUGGGACUGGAGUGACUUCCCAGCUUCGUUCAACAAAGCCGAUCGAAUUGAUCUGAGGGAGGUCAAUUUACCCGUGCCUGAGGAACUGAAGACGGCUAUGGAGCUUUCGAAUCCAAAGAAAGCUCCAGGUGCAGCAUGGGAAAUGCUCAGCUGGGUCUUCAACGCAAUAGCGGGUGACUCCAAGGGCAAAUGCGUUGUCGAGUACAACUGCGGCGGACUAUUCUUUCGAGCCGCACUACUCAAGGGUGUCCCGUGUGUUGCGGUGACAAACUCCAUUGAAGAGGUGACUUCAAUGGAGCAUAUAAUUACAGUUGCCAAAGAAAAACAGUAUCUUCUCUACGAACCUGGUGAGUACGCACUUUAAGUUUAAAUGUUAUCUCACAAGCUCUGUAUGCAGGAGCGUGGCCACCCCCAGAUGCUGAAACGGCGUUAACAGCUACUGAUGUUAGGCCGAGGUCACAACCUGCACAAGGUAAGGUCACAUGAGGCCUCACGCCAUUUUGAUUAUAGAUCGUUGUGAAUAUUCAGACACGAGGACUGAAAAGCGCACUGGUGGCGCGUCGAAGAAGGACAAACAGACAAGCAAUAGGAAAAAAGGAGGUACAAAUUAUAUUUGCAAUGGCGUGUGGUCUCAUGCCAUUCCUUGCAGGAGACACUUCUUCAAAGGCAAAACAGGCAAGCACCAGCCAAGCUCAAACUGACAGUGGUCAUAAAAAGCGAAAGCACGUUGGACAGUCAUCGGGAUCAGAGGCGUUUGAUUCGAAAAGGAAGAAGGGCAACGAAAAGAUGAUAGGUAAUGCCUCGCGGUUAUGGCGUGUGUGCUCAUGCCAUUCAUUGCAGAUCAAGGGCUGAGUGAAAGGAGCCAGUCACCACCUUCUGACUCAGAUUCCUAUGGCGGACUCCCCUUCCCCAAUCUCAAUGGAGAGGUACAAUGGAUGAGGGAUGCUUUUCAAGUCAGGGCCACGUUUUUCUCAUCUCGUCGUCUUCGAAGGGUGCAAGAACGUGCAGAAACCAUGUUAAGACAGUCGGGUGAGGAUACGGUCCUAGGUCACGCACUAAAACAGGCUAUGGAUGUCUUGUAUUUUGAGAUGGAGACUCGGCCAGAUGAUUUUUCCAAGAUGGUCCUGGAAAAACAAGCAAUCCAGCCUGAGCAGCCUAUGGAAGAAAUGCAAGAGGGGGAUGAGGAGCCAGAGAAAGAUAAUGAGCAGGAAGAGCAGAAGGACGAAGAGGAGGACAAAGAAGAGGAGGACGAAGAAGAGGAGGACGAAGAAGAGGAGGACGAAGAGGACUUGGAUGGUCCUCACAAUGGUGACGAUCACAAUAACGACGAUGACGAUGAUGACGAUGAUGGCCAGCCUGAGGUGGCCAAAGAGCAGCGGAGGAAGGUCAUACAAGACAAACCAUCAGGUAAAUAAUAGUACAUCCAUUCCUAACCUUUUACCAUUUCUAACAUUGUCCAUGUAGGUCGCAGAAGAAAUGGUAAGUAGAGAUUAUUCAGUUGAAUUAAGAUACAAACUCUAGCCUUUAGUGUCGAGGAAGGAUAGUGCCAAGCAAGGGUCGAAACGUAUGUCCAAUCCUUCAGAAUCAGUAGUGCGCCCAAGUGAUAUCGGUCUUAGUUCCUCAAUAGCAGUUGAUGGUAAAUACAGUAUAGUCGAUUCAAUGUGCUAAUGAGUUUGUUUUUAGUAGCACGGGAGGAUACCAUCUCAAUCGAAGGGAGAUAUUUGGACAUGCAUAUAGAUCCGCCAGUGGACUCUACUUGCCUGCAAGAGUCAUCAGAGCUGGUGGAGGCUACUAUCCAUAUCAACGCCAAGCAAGCUGACCACGCUCCACUUGAUGCUGCCCAUACCACUGAGUCAAUCUUAUCCACGUAUCCAACUGACGGUGACCAGGCGCCAUUGGACCCGCAUGAGGCCGCCCCAGCCGCCGAGCCGGUCGUAUCCUCAUUUCCAACGUGUGCCCAAUCGUCUGACUACGCGCCGUUGGAACCUCCCUACACCGCCCCUGCUGCCUGUUCGGUCAUGUCCACUUUGCCAACGGAGGCACCAGCUGAAAUGGCGUGUGAUCACACGCCAUCGGAACCACCCCAUGCCACUGUUGAGCUAGUUGUACCAGAGUCUACAGCUGAAAUGGCAUGUGCCCACACGCCAUCGGAUGCGAUUGACCCCACAUUGCAGAGGAGAGUAUUUCCGCCCUUCACGUUUCCUCGACCAAAACCCUCUGAACGACCAUCGGGAGCACCAUUCGCUAAUAUUGUAGAUGGUAAAAUUGACUUGUACCAUUUUUUAUGCUAACGCAUUUCAUUUCAGAGUCACGGCGAAAGUACUGUAUCGUUUUUGAUCUGAACGGUGUCCUUUUCUCCCAUGAGCGUGGCUCGUCCUCGAAUGUCACUGCACCCUCCAAAGCCUGCGGUCGCAAGUUGGUCAAAAGAGACAGAUUCACAUUAAUCACACGGGAGAAACUGCGGGAUCUAAUAAUGACCAUGCGACACUUAAAACAGAGGGCCGGGUUCAAUUUGCAAUUGGGAGUUUGGACAUCCAUGAUGCGCCACAAUGCAUUAAUGUUGCUACAGAUGAUGCACGAUCAGACGCGAGUAAUAUUACCAUUUGACUUUCUCCUAACGCAGGAGGAUUGCUUGACUAUGGUCCAUGUGAGGGGUAGCAAGCCCAUCUUCGUCAAGGCAGAGGCUGUAGUGAUGAACCGGACUGCUAGGUCAAGUGAAAUCCUCAUCAUCGAUGACUCGCCGAUUAAAACUGCAGCGAACACGCACACAUAUACAGUGCACCCCAUCUCUUGCAGUAUGGAAACUAGGGAGAAGAAACCGUAUGUUCUGGGGGACCUUGCAAAACGGCUUGAAGCGAUGGUGAUAGAGAACCGGCCAGUCCAGGAGGUGGCUGCAGAAAUCAACCAAAUGGCAGAUGGAACGGUAUAUCAGAAGCCAUUUGAUCGGACAGACACCAGUCAUCAUUUAUGGCAUGUAUAUUGUCUAGCCAAGCACUAUCCGCAUCUCCAUAAUCUGCUCAACCGGAUGGGUUCUUCGACCACUGAACAUGAGCGUGGACGUAUUAGAGAAGAGAUGGCAUUACUAUUGGGUUUAAAUCCUGAUAGUGUGGAGAGUGAUGAAAUUCCAAGAUUAUUGUAUAGGCGUUGGAGGCAAAAAAUAACAGUCUGAGAUGGCAUGUAUUUAUUUAAAAAUGUAACUUAUUAUGGCAUGGGGUUCCAUGCCAUUGUAUUAAUAUUAAAAGACAAUUCUUUGAGAGGAUUUGCAUUAUACUAGAAGUGUUACAGCAUGUUAUUGGAAGUCUACGAAGUUGUUUUAUUAAUAAGGGGAAAGUAAAGAUUGAAUGGGGACUUGGGCUCCACCUAGACUCGGAGCAACUGAGCCAAUAUUAAAAGGAUGGAAAGAAAUUGAACGACGAUGACAAGGAGAAGAGAGAGGUGAAGCAGUGAGAAGUGAUUGAGUAGACAUUUCCUUGUUUAAAAUAAAAUGGCAUGUGCCUCAAUGCAGUUGAAUUUUGUUAUAUUUAUAUACUAUAUAAAGGUUUGGAAACCUUAUUUUACAAGUGGGAUAAUGACAAUUCCCACUUUAACGAAAUAGAGCUUAGUUACACUUAAACUAUUGUAUCACUACAAUGUUGUCUUUUGGAGACAUGUGGGAAACUCACACAAAUGCCAAGUAUCAUCCCAAGAGUGAUAGGUAGUAAUCACCAUAAAAUGAUCAAGCCAAUAGUACACAUCAUCCUUAGGAUUCUGAUAGAAGAACUCUAGUCGAACAUGAGAAUUGGCAGUAAAAGUAGGAGGAGUUGUACCAUGCACCAUAAAUGCCAUUAUUAAUUGAGUUUGAUUGUUUAACUACAACCAUAAAGCAUUAAGCAAUUGCACCAACUACUACUUCAAAGUUAAAGCUAUUGCUCUACCAUAAAGAUGAACAAAAAGAGAAAGAGAAGAAACUAAAAAAGCUAUAAAGAAAGUGAGAGUUUUUAUUAUAUAAAAGCUAGAUUUAGCCAAAAAACCCUAGCUUUAUAUAUGAGUGAGUGGUAUAGAUUGAAACUAAUCUAACAGUUAUUAAAAUCCCACUACACUAGUAUUAGUAUAUGGCAUUCUAGACAUACACUUGAAUUUCACAAAUAUAAAUUUUAUAUUAAUACAUAAAUUACUUUUAUAGAGGCUUUCUCAAUAAUAAUGAAUUGGGUUACACUAAUGUUUUUUUGGUGUUUUAAUCAUAGUUAGAAAUUUAUAUACUUAUUUAUUUAAAUAAUAUAAUGACAUAUGCAAAGAUGAUAUAAAUUAUUAUUAAUUAAAAAAAAUUAUAUAUUGAUUAAAUUUAAGAAUAUAAGAAAAUACAAUUUUUAGGUUUAUUUAACAAAUUCUAUGAUGCAAUUUACAGUAUGAAGCUUAGGUAGCAAUGUGAUAAUAACUAUCUCAAGGAUUACAAGCAAUCUUCGGUGAAAAAGGGAUUAUUAAUCAUGUUGAUGGAGCCUUGAGAAGCUUAAGUAGCAAGAGUAUAACUCUUAGCAUUCCUAAUGGCAACUGUAUACAUACUAUCAAUAAUUGUAGAAGUUGUUCAUAACCAUCUUGAGUCUUGACCAUACUGCUAUAGGACUUGCUGUUAUAGGUAUGCUAGCCAUUGCUCAAGAUGGAGAGUUAAACACCUCAAUUGAAUGUUUAUGAGCUUUGUAGUGAGAGAAAAAUACGAGGGGAUGGAUGGUAUAACAUUUAGCAAGCAUAAGACUUUUAGCUUCUUGAAUAUCUUGUCUUGUAUCUACUACUAUUGCUAGAUGAGUUUUUGAUAUUGCACUAAAGUUUUAUCUAGAGUUUGAAAAGUAACUUAUCCUUUAUUUUUAAAGCUUCCACUCAAUUCAUAAGUUGGUUAAGUGAUGUUGGGAGUAGUUAUGAGAGAAUCCCUAACUAUAGUCAUGCUAAGUUCUACUAAUAUAUCUUGUUCAACCCACUCAAUAUGCUUGUAAAUGAUUAAAUUUUCCAUUAUACUUUAAUCACUUAAUCAUGCUUUUGACCAUUUGAAAGAAUCCCAUUCAUAACCUCUAUAAAUCUUUAUUUUGACUUGGGGAACUUGCUAGGUUCUAGAGGUGAUCUCAAACCCACACUAAUAGAGCAUUUUGUUCAAGUGUUCCAUAUGUUCAAUUUCACUUUAGACACCUAAAGUGUAACAUAUGUGGUUUUCAUGAUUUACCAUAAGAUUACCAUAGAGUGGAAUUAUAACCUUUGGACACAUGAGCCAAUGGUAGUGGAGCGAAACCCAAGUUUCAAAGCUUUAGGCCACUAAACAAAGGGAUGAACUAAACUCUUAAAUAUGUAGCCAAAAAGUGAAAUACAGGAGAGUAUUAAAUGACUCCUAAGUGUACAAUCUAAGGAGUGAAGAAACAAGAGCAUGAAGUAACAUUGGAAUAGUCAUAGAGCAUUUAACAUUCUAAUAUUAAAACCAACACUUAAAAUGGAGCCAAACAAAGCUAGAUUUUGGCACUAUUUCACCAUAUUGAUGGCCUAAUGCAAGGAUAUAAAUACUCCACUAGCUAAUAUAGUAUAGAGUUUGGGUUUAAACGCAAGGCAGACAUAAAAUACACAACUAAAACUAAGUUAUACCUUAAGUUGGUUGGCUAUGCCUACCCAUUAUCCCUACUAUACAUUUGGAACCCCCCUGAGGAACACACACUUUAAGCUUUCACCCUAAUCCCACAAGUUAGUUUUUGAGAUAAUCAUGAAAACUUAUUAAAUAUAAAAUGGUGCUAAAUUGCAGAUGCCAGAACAACACUAUUCUAUUCAAGACAAUCUUUAUAUUCUAUAAAUAUGUUUAACUAGUAAAUUUAGACACUUUCUAUAAAUAACCAAAGGGACCAAAUGGAACUAAUAUAUUUGACAAAUAUGAUAAGUUAUUAUAUAGUGAUUUGAGGGAUUGGUUUCAAUAUGCAAAGGUUCUUAACAAGCCAAUACAAAACAAAGCAAAAGAGAAUUAAAAGCUAAGCUAAGUAUACUCAAUAAGAAACACAUAAGAGUUCCUACUUUAUAUUUAUCUAGUUAAGUAUAGAUGCUAAGCAUAAUUUACUAACACAUAAACAAGAAAGACUGAAAAGGGAAGUAACAAUACUAAUUUUCUAUCGUCAUGGUAGUAAAGAAAGAAUAUUCAAAAAGAUUUGCCAAUAUGUAACUUUUAAUACCCACAAUCACAUUCAUAACACAAAAGUACUAUCAAAAUGCCAACCUUUAACACUAAAGCCAUAGUCAUUCUUACUAUCUUAUUGGUAGUCAAUGACCACUUAUACAAAAGUCCUACCUCUUCAAAAUUAAACUAUCCAUCUUUGAAUGAUUAUUUUAUUACCACACUUUAAUAUCUUUAGAAUGCCCUAAAACAUAAAGAACACCAUCCCUUAAUAUUCUUCUUUUUUAUACAUAUAAAAUCUUUCUUUGUCCAUAGCAAUGCUCACCAAUACCAUUACUGAAUUAGAGCUUGAAGCCCAUCCACUAAAUCUCACUAACCUUCCUUAAAUACUAAGCCUUUUUUUUUAUAUGGUUAAGAACUUUGGGAUAACAUUUUGAAACAUUAUGACCCAAAAACUUUGUGGGUACUCCCCCCACCUUCCACGACUAAGAUGCCCCAUCCAUAUGAGGUGGAGCUAAAGAGGCUAAUAUUUGAGAAAUGAUUACUGCUUGAUUCAUUGAAUGAGUCUUAUGAUCCUUUAUAGAACUACAUACCCAACUAAGUAUAGGAAAGUGGACUUUGGAUUGCAAUCAUAUCUAAAUGGGCAUGAAGAAAACCUUUAAACAGUCUCAGUUACCCUUGCAUGCCACAAUUUUCAAACUUGAAUACCAAAUCAUCACAUAGAUCUAGCAUUCAAGUCAUCAUGGGCAAAAUCAAUGGAUUGUAAAAAUCAUUAAACCUGUAAAUGUUUCAGCUCUUUGAAAAAAUAUUAAAUUAUAUGCCUCAAGCAAACUAAAAAGGUCAAAAGUUCUAAACCAAUAAAUUUAGAAUUCAUGCAAAAAAAAAAGUAAAAGGCUGAUCAAACAAUCAUUUGAAUAGAAAUGAUAAAUACAAAAUGUUCCUAAUACUGAACUUGAAAUUGUCAUGGAUCCUUUUAAAGUCAAUGCCUCAGCUGAAAAGUGAGAAUGGUUGCUUGCAUUACCUCAUAAUGAAUUUUCCCUAAGAAUGGGGUCCUUCCCUAUCAGUGACAUGGCAUUGGAAUUUGGUGGAAGGGGGGUCCCCCCAAAAUAAAUUAUCCCAAUGCAUUAAUAACAUCAUUACUUAUAAAAGACAAGAAAAAUCUAGCUGUAGAGAGAUUCUUGGAUAUUUUUAGAGAUUAUUUCAAACCUGAAAAUCCCCCCUCCCAAAAAAAACUUCCCCCUCUAUGUCAUUAAUAAUUUUGCCAACUGAAGCCCAACAGUCCUCUUACCUGACUAAGUGCUUGAAGAACUGUGCUAUCUCUUUCUUGAACACUCCCGCCCAGGAAAACGUUCCGCUUUUGCCUGAUCUCUCUUCCCACUGUCACGCACAUGCUACAGCCUCACUUGAUCAUGAUUGGCCACUUCCAUCACAUCACGCCAUUUAUUACAGUGCUUUGCUAUUUGCGUUUCCCUUUUUCUUUUCCCUUAGAAAAACGAUAAACCUAAACCUUAGUCAAUCUGACAGCGAGUUUCUAGCUAGAAGAUCAUCAAAUUGACUUGCAAAAAGAUCAGCGGGGGAACUGGGCAAUCCACGAAACAUUGAAAGCCUCAAACCCACAAUUUGCAGUAAGAUUUGAAGGUUUGACGCUGGACUGGCAGCUGAGGAUAAUGGAUAUAUUUCGACUGAAUAUAGAGAGGCGCUGAGGAACGAGAAAAGAUCGAUACAAUACGAUGAUUUCUUCUUCCACUGUUUGGGCAUGGACGUCUUUGGCAGGAGUUGCUGGAGUUUUCUGGCUUGCGGCGCUCGUCUACUGGAGGUCAUGGCGAUUCCGAAAGCUCCAGAGGCUCCCACCCGGGAGCAUGGGAUGGCCGCUCAUUGGCGAGCUGGUGCCAUACGUGACAAUUGUUCGAUCCGAGACUCCAUUUCGCUUCACAAGAGAAAGAGAGAGCAAGUAAUUUCAUCGAUUCUCACCUUGGAUUUAUAAUAUUGAUUGCAAUGCAACAGGUAUGGACCAGUGUUCAAGACGAGCUUGCUGACGGGCAAGACUGUCAUGAUCACUGAUGUGGAGGGUGUCAAGUUUGUUCUCCACAACGAGGGUGUUCUCUUCGAGACGGGCUAUCCCCGAUCGCUCAAGGAUGUCCCAGGCGAGCACGCGAUGCUCUUCCAUCACGGUGACUUGCAAAAGAGAAUGCACGCCAUGCUAAAGAGGUUUGUGAGCUCCACGCCCCUCAAGAAGCAUCUCACGCGAGAGAUGGAGCUCCUUACCAAGCAAGGGAUGAGAACGUGGAGCAGAGGCCAAAGGAUUCUUCUCCAGGACGAGAUCCAAAGGGUUACUACCUGAACAUUUUCUCAGAAGUUUGAUCACAAAUCCUUUCGUUUUUAUUUCAGAUCACCCACGACUUUUUGAUGAAGCAAUUGUUUGGAUUGGAGCCUGGCAAGCUUUCCACAACUAUAUUGAAAGAGUUCCACACCCUCAUGGCGGGGAUCAUUGGUAUUCCUAUGAUGAUUCCAGGAACUCCAUACUUUAAAUCAAUGAAGGUACUCUUAUAUUUUUUAUAUUUUAUUUUUUAUAUUUCAAAACUUAAUUUGUUUUUUCAAAUCAGGCACGAGAGAAGCUGUCCAAGAUUAUAAUGGAUAUGGUAGCUACUCGAAGGGCCAAGCCAGACAUAGAACACAAGGACAUCCUCAACGCAUUGAUCGAAGAAGUGAAACAAGAGGAGAUGUGGAGAAGAUUAUAAUUGACAAUGUUUUGGUCAACAUUGCAAAUGCAGAGAAUGUUCCGGCAGUCGUCAUUGCUUUGGCUGUGAAAAACUUAUCAGAAACUCCCAAAGCACUCGAGCACAUCAGAGUAAGAAACUUCCAUUCCAAGAUUCUCUAGAUCCUUAGUUUUCUAAUGCAGGAAGAGAACCUUGCAAUCAGGAAGGGGAAAGAUCCAAGCGAAGGCCUUUCUUGGAAUGAUUACAUGUCUUUAGAGUUCACCCAAGCUGUAAGUUUUCUCUUUAAAUUAUGUAUUAAUACAGAAUUAACUGCAAGCUCAGGUUUUUAACGAGACACUUCGCCUUGCCAAUGGAGCUCAAGGAGUAAUGAGGAAAGCCCUCAAAGACGUGGAAUACAGAGGUAAUUCACAUAUAUUUAAGAAUCGACCAGUCUAACACUCCAUCGAAAUUCUUUCAAGGUUACAUAAUUCCGAAGGGCUGGACAGUGCUUCCUUAUUUUCUCAACAUCCAUUUCGAUGAAAAUAUGUUUCCAAAUUCAGCCAAGUUCCACCCAUGGCGCUGGCUAGAGGUAAAGAUUAUGAUUUCUCACUAACUAUGUUUUAAUCUGCUACUUAUCAGAAAAACAUUCCGCCAAGUUACGUGCUUCCUUUUGGUGGUGGAUCUAGAUUGUGUCCAGGCCAAGAGCUUGCUAAAGUCCAAACUGCAGUGUUUCUUCACCAUUUGGUCACCCAGUUCAAGUAUAAUAUAUAUUUUCUAGUUAAACAUUCUAUUAACAGCAUAAUGUAUUUAACAGAUGGGAUGCAGAGCCAGAAAAGGUGAUCAACUUUCCGAUGAUCAGCACCAGAAACCAUGUCCCAGUUGUGCUGUAUGAUCUAAACUAAUCAGCCAUUAGGCCAUAUAAAUGUAUGAAUAUUGGUUUGUUUUUGUUUCUUAUGAAUUUUUUUAAAGAAUAAAGCACUAAUAAAUAAUAAAUAAUAUAUUCAUUAACUGAGUGCAUUGUAUUCAAUUAUCCAAUUAAAUAUAUCAAUUAAAUUAAACUAGUAAAUAUUUAUCUCUAAAAUUCUAAUUUUCAAAUAUAUAUGGUGAUAAUAUAUGAAAAUGUCAUCUUAAUUAUAAAAAUUUAGUAAUAUAAAAAAAUUAGAUAUGUACUAUACGAAAUUACAUUUUUUAUGCAAGUGUUUAUUUGGCACCCAUCAAAUAUUGUUGUUAAGUUUAAUUCAAGAAAUGUUUUAAAUAUUUUGCAAUUUAUAUUUAUCAAUAGAUACACGGUAUAGUUUAGUAAUAAUGAAUUGGGUUACACUAGUUUUUCUUUUUUUAAGAAUAAUCUACAUAAUAUUUACAUAUUUUAUCAUAUUUUUAAUUUAUUUUUUCUAAAUAUGAUUAAAACACCUAUCUUGAUUAAGAAUGAAGUUUUAAAAUUAAGAAUAUAUAUUCACUUGAUUGUUCAACUUUUUGUUAAUUGUAAUUACUUCUUGGACUAACUUAGAAUCAAUUUUGCUUAAAGCUUACAUUUAAAUUAGGCUAUUUAAAUUCUAACUAUAUAUAUGACAGUAUUAUGUGUAAACUUGUGGCAAUGAAUGCAUAGAGCUUAUGUGUCCCAACUUGGUACAAUAGGUCUAUGUGCUCAAGGUGAUCCACUAUAUUCAACAACAGCUACUAAGUUGAUUUGCAUUAUGGAUCUGAAAGUUAUUAACUAUGGGGCUGAUUCAUUAAUAGAUAAAAUUUGUCAGGAGUUUCCUUGUGGCCAAUGUAAGAAGUACUCGAUGGAUGAUCCCUUAGCAAGGGACUUUGGCAAUGGUCUUGAUGUUGCAGAAAAUAAAUUUAGUGAAGGUAUAAUAUGUAGGCAGGUUUCUAUGGUGCAUGUGUCAAUGAGGAUUCAAAGCAAUUGCUGAAAAACUGUUGCUUAUCCUAUUCUUCCUGGUGGAAUAUACAAGUAUAUUCUAGGUAGAUUUGGCUUUGUCAACUUUGACGUUCUGUACUAGUCGUGUUUUUAAUUUCCCACGCUUACGUGCCGUGAACAGACAAGCCUUGAGUGUACAUAUACAAGAAGACGUUCAGUUCAUGUAUAGCAGUAUCUCUUUGCAAGAUCUUGUGCAUUGUUCUCUUCUCAAUUCUUCUCACCUCCUUGCAUAUGGAAGCAAUCCAUGCUACAACUUGCCUGAUCGCGUAGCAAAGCUCUGUGCAAUACUUCACAGCAGCUCAAUUUGAGGUCGCAGCUGCAGAUAUUUGUAACCGGGGGCGAAGCGAUGUUACAAGAGAUUAUGGUGAGGCCCCUGCUUCAAGUCCUUCCAGGCCGGGUCCCCUCAGAAGAAAAAUUCAAGCGCAUUACCAUGGUACCAACAGACGAUACUGCUGGGUAUGAUAGUUUUUACGUUGAAAUUUUCUUAAUUAUGUGUUUUGUAGGAUGCUUUCCACAACAUUAUCAGCCAAUGCUUCCAGAACGAGAGGCGGAGUGGUGGUUCUUGGGACUGGGUUUCGGGAAAUGUGGAGGAACAUUACUACAUAAGAGCUUAUCUCGAUUGAGUAGCAACUUAUAUUGUUUUCACGAGUUUAAUAAAAGCAAGAAUUAUGACGAUUUGAGACGGAAGUAGCGCCGCGCUUAGAAUCCAGCGUCCACCGCUGCGAUCAGGGCAGUGAUUCGAGGAGGCGAUGGAAGAAGUUCCAAAACCUAUUCUUCCUUGAUCGAUCCUUUUAUGCGAGGAAGCCCGCGAUCGAGGCCUCAUCGCUGCUGCGUCAAUUGGAUCGCCCAGUCCCGGCGCUGGAUCGCGGAUGAAGCGCCCCG